GGAAGAAGACUACUCCCAAGAAGCAUCACGGCUCUUCCUCGACCACCAAGAAAUGAAGUCUUCACGGGCGUUAGUCCUCAGUUUGUCCCUUUUUGUCACUUGAUGACAAAGGGGGAGAAACUCGAGAGUUAGUCUUCAAGCGGGGUAUUUUUGGGGCUUAUAAACUAUAGUUAAGUUACAAACUCUUGGCUCUUCUGAAGUUUUUAUGUAAUGAGUUGUAACUUAAGCCCGAUGGUACUCUGACGCUUUUGAACGUUUUUCUUCGCAUGCUUAUUCCUCAAGUUUUAAUGCACGCAUGCUGGAAUUCGUCAGAUACCAUUUGCCAUCAUGCAUCUUCAUUUUCUUCAUAUGAUAUGUUAUAUGUAUGCAUGAUUUAGAAGACUCAGGGGGAGAUCUCCAUGAUAUAAAUCAUCAAUGUGCAUUUGCUAUAAAAGCAAAAUCCUCAAGGUAUGCACAUCUUCAGGGGGAGUCUCUCUGAAUCUUGUUUUCAAAUUCCUAAAAUGAGUAUUUACACUUCAUAUUUUUGAUCCCUGUUGAAGACUUAACCUAAUUGUCAUCAACCACCAAAAAGGGGGAGAUUGUAAGUGCAUCUAGUGCCCCUUAGUGAUUUUGGUGGUUUUAAGACUUAUAGGUUAAGUAUCUAAUGUGUUUGUAAGUGUACACAGGAUCUAUAAGUCAUUGAGGAGUUUGAGAUAUUUGAAGAAUAUCGACCCCUAAAAAUAUAUGUCUUCAGUUGAAGAAAUUGGUCUGAAGCUGAAGAAAUGAAUCGUGAGGAAUCUACGAUGAAAAUGAUAAUCCUCAUGAAGAUUCUGAUAUUGAGAAGUCCGGUGGUUCCUGAAGAAAAUCAUUCUGAAGAAUUUGAAGCAUGAAGAUUUACACUUUCUGUUUUACUUUCUUCGCAUUUGAGUAAUAGGAACACCAUACUGUUAAAGGGGGUCGAAGUUACACUAUGGAAUGAAUUUCCUCAUGAUGCUCAACCCAAGCCUAAUCCUACCAAAAGCCUCAAGUGAGGAAUAUGAGUGACAUGAGGACUCUCAGAGUUGAGGGUUCCGACCGUUUCGAUAACCACGCCAAGUGAUUGGUCUUAUCCACUCCAACGGUCAUAUUAUUUAAGGGCAUUAGUGUCAAAUCAUGUCGGGAUGCUCCUAGGCUAUAAAUAGCCACCCCCCACAACCACUAGCUGGUUGGCUGCUCCGUUAGAAACUGACACUUGUCAUAAGAGCAACCCAAAUUCCUCAGAGCUUUCGAGAGUAAUUCAUCAGUGAGGAAGUACACCACCCACCGAAACCACAAACCAAACCUAAUGAUUGAGCAUCACUGAAGAAGUUGUUCCUGUGUGGGACUAAAGCAUUUUAGCUUUGACGACUGUGCAUCCUCCAGACGGUUAGGCGUCAUGGUCUAGAGCAAUCUAGGAGCUAAUUGUGGAUCGCCGAGUGACCAAGUUUGUGAGGGUUUGGAAGUCUGCCCUAAAGACUUACCUCGAGUGUUGGGCGAGGACUGUGUGUCCUUAGCUCAAGGAGAAUACGGUAGGGACUGUGUGUCCUGGGACUGGGUGUCCUUUGGUUUCAAUACCAAGCCGCUCCAAACCAGAUGUACGAGUGUCACAGCAGUUGGAACUGGGUCAUCAACGAUUGUCUUCACUGAGAAACGGGUUCUAUUUCCUCAACUCUUUACUUUCCCGUAUUAUGUGUUGAUGACUUUCACUGUGACUGUUUGAAGAAUUUGCUAAAGACUUUCUGUGAAUUUCCUCAACCCCAAAUUCUUCACUUGUGAACGUUUGCACGUCUAAUCCUUUACUGUUUCCGCUGUAAGUUAGUCAUUAGUGAGGAAUUUCCUCAAAAGGAAUUUCCUCAGUGAUGAAAUUCUAAAAAUCUCCUAUUCACCCCCCCCCUCUAGUUGAUAUAAAGUACUUUCAAGGGUAGAAAGGAAUCCUUGAGGAACAAUAUGGAGAUUUAACUUCCGAAAUUCCUCAUAGAGAUGUGGGUGACCUUGUUGUACCAUCAAAUUGUUACAAUAAGAUUUACGACUUAGUGCAUCAGCCAUAACAUUGGCCUUCCCCGGGGUGUAAGUUAUCCCUAAGUCGUAAUCCGAGAUCAACUCAACCCACCGUCUUGGCCUGAGAUUCAAAUCCGGCUGGGACUUUGGUGAUCAGUGAAUAUUUCGCAACGAUUACCAAGAAGGUAAUGUCGCCAGGUUUUUAGUGCAUGGACUACAGCUGCAAGCUCAAGAUCAUGUGUGGGAUAAUUAUCCUCAUGUGGACGCAACUGUCGAGAUGCGUAAGUAAUCACAUGACGAUCUUGUAUGAGAAUGCAACCUAAUCCUUGUCGCGAGGCGUCGCAAUAGAUAACAAAGUCCUUAGAAAAAUCUGGUGGUAGCAACACAGGUGCGGAAGUCACGCGUCUUUUCAGUUCCUGAAAACUAUGCUCACACUGUGGUGUCCACUCGAACUUUUUAUCCUUCUUGAGGAGUUCAGUUAGAGGCUUUGCAACCUUGGAGAAAUUCUCGACAAAGCGGCGACAAUAGCUCGCUAAACCAAGAAAACUCCUAACUUGCUUAACCGAUUCAGGUUGAGUCCAAGCAAGGACAGCUUGAACUCUCUCGGGAUUGACAGCAAUACCCUUACGAGAGAUUAUGUGACCUAGAUAGGUCACUUCUGCUAACCACAAUUCACAUUUUGAAAACUUGGCAUAAAGGCGAUGCUCGCGAAGUUUCAUCAAUACCAGCCUUAGAUGCUCGGCAUGUUCUUGUUCGUUCUUCGAGUAGAUGAGAAUAUCAUCGAGGUAUACCACGACGAAUUUAUCCAAAUACUCCAUGAAGAUUGAAUUCAUCAAACGAGAGAAGGUGGCUGGGGCAUUGGUUAAACCGAAGGACAUGACGGUGUACUCGUAUUGGCCAUAACGAGUAACAAAAGCCGUUUUUGGAAUAUCCCCGUUCUUGAUCUUGAUUUUACGGUAUCCCAACCUCAAAUCCAUUUUGGAGAAGACUGGGGAUCCAGCGAGCUGAUCAUAUAGGUCGUUGAUCCUGGGGAGCGAAUACUUGUUCUUUAUGGUGACCAGAUUAACUGGUCGGUAAUCUACAACCAUCUGAUCUGUUGUGUCUUUCUUCUUGACGAAGAGGACGGGGCAAGCCCAGGGAGAAGAGCUAGGACGAAUGAAACCUUUAUUCAAGGCCUCAUCUAGUUGCUUCUUAAGUUUGGCUAGCUCCAGGGGUGCCAUCUUAUAUGGUCAUCUGGCUAUUGGAACAGUUCCCGGAACAAGAUCUAUCACGAACUCUACAUCUCUGUCAGGUGGAAUUCCUGGUAGUUCCUCUGGAAAAACAUCUGGAAAGUCACGGACUACCGGAAUGUCUUCAAGUUCCGGAAGAGGGUUGGCAUUGAGGGAAUAGAGUUGGCAUUUAGCAACUCGAGUAGAGACAUUGACUAUCUCACCCGAGGGAUGGGUAAGCUGAACAUUUCUGGAAUGAGUAUCAAUCUUGGCAUAGUGAGCUGACAUCCAGUCCAUACCCAAGAUGAUAUUAAUAUCUGAAGGUUUCAGGGCUAUAAAUGAGGCUAAAAAAACUAGCCUAUCUACUAGAAUUUCAUUAUCAUAGGUUAUUCUAGAGGUUUGCCACUUACUACCAGGAGUUUGGACAACCAAUGGAAUUGGCAUAUCACAGAAAGACAUGUUAUGCAACUGUGCAUAACUUUCUGAAAUGAAGGAAUGAGAAGACCCAGUGUCAAAAAGAACAAACGCUGGGUGAUGAUUAACAAGGAGCGUACCCAGUAUGACGUCGGGAUCCUCUGCAACUUCUUCUGCUGAAACAUAGUUCACACGGCCACGUGCAGGAGUUGGCUUCACAUAGUAAGCUUUGCCCGACUUGCCUUGCCCGACGGACUUUCCGGGUUGCUUGGCACCCACAUUCUGAGGACACUCACGGGAAUAGUGCCCUGGUUCUCCACACUUGUAACAUAUCACUUGGUUGGCACGUGGUGCAGCAUUGCUAGCUGGACCACCAUAGGUUUUUGCUGGAGGGUUGGUCUGAUUCGUCUGAGGCGCCACAUAGGAUGGCCUCGAAGUGUAUCUUGGUGGCAGAGAACUGUUUGGAACCCACAGCCUGCGUUUUUGGAAACGCGGAAGCAGAUGACGAGCCAAAGUCACGGGAGUGCUUCUUUGUGGCUUCGUAGUCGGUAUGACCAGUCUCGGCACUGAUCGCCUUGUUGACCAGGGCUUGGAAGCUUGUACACUCAUGGAGGCGCAAAUCACGACGAAGCUCAGGGCUCAGACCCUUACGGAAUCUUGCUUGCUUCUUGGCAUCAGUAGACACCUCCUCUGUUGCAUAGUGGGCGAGGUUGCUGAACUCGCGGCUAUAGGCGUCCACGGUCAACUUUCCUUGGGUGAAUGCACAGAACUCCUCUCUCUUUCUGUCCAUCAGGCCCUCUGGAAUAUGGUGCAGACGGAAGGCUGCACUGAAGUCUGCCCAUGUGGCUGCUCAUUCAGCAGGACGCAUAGCUUCAAAGUUCUCCCACCACAUAUUGGCGGGUCCUUCUAGGAAAUACGCCGGAAAGGUCACCUUGUCGGCCUCAGAAACAUUCGCACAGCGAAUCUUACGUGAAAUACUGCACAGCCAAUCAUCAGCGUCGAGGGGAUCGACGGAGUGAUGGAACUUUGGAGGAUUCAGCUUCACAAAGUCAUUGAGGGACACUGCAGCAUUCCUAGGCUGACAAGCUGUAUUUUGCUCAAUACGCUCUAGCAGUCGGUUGGUCUCCCUUUCGUUUCUCUCUGCCUCAAGCAUAACUUCCGCCAGAGAGGGCGGGUGUGGCAGGUCUUCCUGCGACGCUUGACUACCCUCGCCUUGCUCAUGAGCAGGGGCACGGUUCAACCUGGUGAACACCGUCCUGACAAACAAACUCACAGCUUAGACCAAUAUCAUCAUCAAUGCUAGCUAUGGAUUAAGAAUGCACUGAACACAUGGAAUGCGGAAAUGAAUAUCCGAACAACGUGGUAACAAGCAACUGCUAUAUAUACACCAUGGUUCAUACACACCCUUACAUAGUUCAGUACAACCUUAACUGAAGAGCAAACUACUGAAGUUAUGAAACUACUCAUCAGAGGCUUACAAGCUUCCUAUACAUUAUUUAUCUAUGCCUCCGGAAUUCAUUUCACGACACAAGCAUACUUCACAAGUCACACAGGACUGUGAAAGUACAGCUACUACCAUAAUAUCCUUCCACUCACAGUUCAGGCAUCCGCAUAGAACAUCUCAUAAAGAUUGCCUCCAUGGCCUGGAAGCUCAACCUGCGGAUCAGUAAAUACUCUGGCCUGAGAUACCUGGGAUCCAUAAGGACACGGAUGUGGCCUUGGUCCCCUGAUUGGUGGUAGUAGGGUCCCCGAAGAGGGGUGACUCCUCCUAUAGCGGGCCAGUCAACAUGGGCCGGAAGAUGGGUUCUAACAGGGUUCAGCAUCUCCAUAUCUCCGUACCCUGUCUGGACUACCGGUGCCAGCUGCGUCAAAGCCGUCCACAAACGGGCACGUGUAGCAUAAAGCUCCAUGCGGAGGGCACGAGCAUCCCUGUCUCUAUUCUCUAGCAUCUCAGCAGUGGACUGCAGAAGCGGAUCCUCCAUAGAGGAAUCAAAAUAAACCCCACUAAGGUAUCCCUCUUCACCUUGCUGAGAGGUAGGAACAUAGCAGAACUCUGAAUUCUGCAGCAGUGCAUCUCUCACCCUCAUAAUGGUCAGCAUUGAAUAGGCAGCAUCUUCUACUGCCAUGUCAACAGUGACUCCCAAUCCAUAAGACCAAUGGAUUGGCUCCUCAGCUCUAGGAUAGUCUGGAAAUACCCUAACAGUGCACAUAUACUGGCUCUGGUUGAAGUCUCGGUACUGUUCCUCCACGUUGUACUCUGGGUACCAGCGGUAACCGCACACCGAUAUCACCCUGACCAGCAUGGUCGUAUGACCCGGCACAUCAAUGCACCUGGUCAGAUGAACCACCUGACGAGAAGGACGGAUAGGCAUCUGAAAAUAGAGAGUAAUGCAAAAGCAUUAGAGCUCUGAAUGCAAAAUUGGGCAGCAUAACGGCUGUAAAUGCUCAAAAAUAAUUUUGAGACAACCCAAAAAUAGAACAGCGUAACCACUCAGCUAUCAAGUUCAAUUCUCUGAUCAUCAAACUUACUUCCUUUUCCUAGGGAUAAAAGAAACCCAAAAUAACUCUCGACCCGUAGUCUUAUAGUCUACCGAUCAGAAACACGAGCCUAGAAGAAGAUGAGUAACCUAGUCCUUAAUUCCCGCAGAAAAGACGAGGAUGACCAGAAUAGCAUAACUUGAGAAGAGAACAAGAGUCUUACGUUCCCUUCCACAAACAAUUCCCUUUUGUAUAACUAAAGCAAUUCUAGACUCAACUUCGACCAGUUUGGCUUAGUAGUCCUACAGUCAGUCAGGCUCUGAUACCAACGCUGUCGGGGCCCCAAUCCUAAGUCAUAGGAAUCCAGCCUGUAACACCUCGCAUCUCUUUGCGGCCUCACGCACGGUUAUCCCCACGGUUGCAGCCUUACCUUAGUCGGGACCGUUUGCGCCUUUUGACUCGCGUAUGCAAUUGUGUCGCUAGCAAUCCAGUGACAAAGAACCCGGAUCGACAUGUCUAGUCAUAAACCAAAGCGGCAAAUCCGCACAGGGACAGGCAUACAUGACCCAGCAAAGCAGGUGCCGGUCACCAGCGAAUGUAGACGAGUCGUAGCAAGCUACAAGGACUCCAUUACAUCGCGUGACAUUUCCCCAAAGGGGACAGACACNNNNNNNNNNNNNNNNNNNNNNNNNNNNNNNNNNNNNNNNNNNNNNNNNNNNNNNNNNNNNNNNNNNNNNNNNNNNNNNNNNNNNNNNNNNNNNNNNNNNNNNNNNNNNNNNNNNNNNNNNNNNNNNNNNNNNNNNNNNNNNNNNNNNNNNNNNNNNNNNNNNNNNNNNNNNNNNNNNNNNNNNNNNNNNNNNNNNNNNNNNNNNNNNNNNNNNNNNNNNNNNNNNNNNNNNNNNNNNNNNNNNNNNNNNNNNNNNNNNNNNNNNNNNNNNNNNNNNNNNNNNNNNNNNNNNNNNNNNNNNNNNNNNNNNNNNNNNNNNNNNNNNNNNNNNNNNNNNNNNNNNNNNNNNNNNNNNNNNNNNNNNNNNNNNNNNNNNNNNNNNNNNNNNNNNNNNNNNNNNNNNNNNNNNNGAACUACCAUGGCUCGUUGGAUCACAAAGGGGCAUUUCCCUGUAAGGAAUGCUACUAAAGCCUACGGCUAGGUAAUCGAACCCCAUACAUAUCAAGUACGACACCCGUACGCAUGGCAUACUGAUAUGUAUAGAUACAUCGAUGGCAUCACAACAUAACCAUAUACAUACAAGCUUUAUUUAAAAGGCUCGGAAGAGCCUCACACAUAAUAUUACACACUAGGGGUCUCACGACCCAUCAUAACAGUCAUUCAAGUUACAAGCCAGUGGAAGUAAAUAAACUGUCUGAGUACAGACAGAUGAAACUAGAAGGCCCAUGGCCUCACUAUACUACAAACCCACCCUAGGGCCAGAUCGUAGCUGGGAUACCAGCUACUCGUCGUCGUCGAUGUCUAGGAAGAACCCUCCAUUAGGGUCAUCAACAACCUCUGCAACAAAUUAUUAAGCAAACGUGAGUACGGAGGUACUCAGCAAGACUUUAGGAUAACUAUCUACUCAUGCAAUGUAUCAAUAAGGAAUUGUGGGGUUUCAUGCGGAAAACCAGCAUUUGACUCGUGGCUAGACAAAUUGCAUUUUUAAAUAAUUUUGACAACUUGAUUUCUCGCACACGAGUCCACUAACACCAGAACAAUACUCCAUCGUGGAAUCAUUCCGUCUCCAUACCGAAAUGCCGUCCACGAUACUCACGCUUAUCUUGACAAUUUUGUGAGUAGCCAUUAAAGUUAUCUAUGAACAACAUAUGUCUCCAAGUAGUCCUUAUCCGCGGAUGCAGCUAUUCGAAUAGAUCAUAACCUUGUAGGGGUGUACUUCUUCACACACGCUCUCGCCACUUAUCGCCAUGUGCACGUCAUGCACCUCGGCAACCUUCAAGCGGAAGCCCAGCGAGGGAGUCGGCCACGACCGUUAACCACGCUAAUACUUAGUCUAGGUCUAUCGCCUAUCUGAGGGUAACCCACACGGAAGUCCGGCCGAGGUUUCCGCCACGGCCCCAAACGAUGUGCGCAGGGUUCCCAAGCCCACCAUCCGGGUGCCACUUGGUACACCGUGCCACUGCCUACCGCAUCAUAGCCCACCUCUCAGGUCAACGCUAUGCACGGCCUCCAGCAUGACUAUAAACACCAGAAACUACUUGCAACUCCUGGACCGAGUACUAGGCGAUUAAUAAGUCGAGCGGGGUCAUAUUUCAGGGCCUAGCAUGUGGUAGUAUCUCAUCUUGGAUUACAUACACGGAACUCAGUUCCUAAGGACGGUUCCAAUGAAACAACCCGCCCUGUACUCCUACAUAGCCUUUCACCGGUACCUUUACCAAAUCAGGUUCAACACACAACCUUUACUUACUGAACACAUUCUCACAAUUUUGUUCAUCUCCCAGAUGACAGACCACACACAACUCUAAGCAUAGCAUGCAUAGCAGGAUAAGGCACAUCAUGGCUCAAGCAUUUACCAAGUAUGCUAGGUUGUAAGGUUCAGCUAUUUACUGUGACAAAGACAGGUCAUGCAAAGGAAGUGGGUUCAACUAAAGUGGCAAAAGUAUUUGAGAAUUUGGUUGCUUGCCUUGUUGCUUGCCUUGUUGCUUGCCUAAUGCAAUAAGUAAGUGCAGGAGCAAGAACAUGGGAUUUAUCGGGAUGAUCAAAAUGGUUGCUUGCCUUGUUGCUCAGAGGGGGGACAAUAUCCGUCAGUCGGAUAUUCGGUGGAAUCCGGAGGAGCGGAGCCUACCGAAACAAAUGACAACAAUCAAUAACAAUCAUAUGCAACAAAAUGAUGCAUGAGCAUGGCAUGAGGAUGCAAGGUGGUAUGCUAAUGUAGCUAUCAUUUAUUAGGUUUGAAGUUGAUUUGAAUCAGAUUCAAAUACCACUUCAAACGAGGUAUUCUCGAAUACCAUUUUAAUUGAUUCGACCUGAUGCUCAGAUCAACUUGUUUUUAACAUGCAUGGGAAUGAUAUGUUAAGUUGUUGGUUGUGAUUGAACAAUGUUUGAUCAUAGAAUUUGAAGUGGAAUUCAGAUGAUUUUCAAAUUCCAUCUCCAAAGCACUUAUUAAAUUUAACCUAUUCAUUUAUUCAACAUGUUUGGUCCAGUAACAUUUUCAAACAUUUUUGAAAAUGACAUAUUCAGAUUCCUUGGAUUUUUCUGAUACUUUUUCAUAUAUAAAUUAUUUUAUUGGAGUUACAGAUUAAUUUCUAUUAUUUUUAGAAGUUUUGAACAUUUUCUGGAAUUCUUUUAAAUCAGAAAAGCUACUUAUUGCGUCAGCAGGUCCAACUGGCCCUUGAAAGUCAAACCUGACCAGUGGGACCCACUGGUCAGUGACUCUGGUCAGUUUUAGAUUAGUUUUAAACUUAAUUAGCUAAUUAACAGCACUGGACCCACAUGUCAGUGACUUAUUAGUUUAAUUAAUUUUAUUUUUAUUAACCCAAAACAUCCAGAGGCUGGCCCCACGCGUUAGUGGCUCAGACCAGCUGAGAUCCAUCGGCGGCGAGGUUGUCCUUGCCGGCGGUGAGCCUCCGGCGACCACCAGAACGGCGGAGGGGCUCGAAAACGCAUCUCCGACGACCAAACGCACGGCGGAGACCACAGGGAGAACGACCACUCGACGGCGCGCGCGAUGGAGCAAACCCUAGGGGCUGGGGUGGCCGGAAUCGACGCCGGCGACGAGCUCGGCGGCGACCGAAGCUCGGCCAUCGUCGAGGUCAUCGAAAGCAAGGUCAAAUCGCGCGGGGCUGGGCUCCUAAAGCAUCUACGCGAUGAGCUAAAGCUGGUACAGGCCUCAGAUGGACCAGCCGGUCAUCAUAGGGGCACCGUCGACGAGCUACAACGGCGGUCCUCGUCGGGCUUCGGUGGAACUAGGCCUAGAGGAAGAGAUCGAAGGGGGAAGCUUGGGGGAAAGCUUGCUAGGCUCACGGGGAGUGGAGUGGAAAGCUUAGACGGCUCGGGGAGGCGCUGUGGGCGACGAAUCGAACGAAGCUCGCCGGCGGCCGAAGCUUGAAGACGACGGUGCCGUGGACGUUGCAGGGCUCGGGGGAUCUUCUGCUUCUGCAGGGAUGACCAGCUCGUCGAGGCGGAGCGAAUGGGGCACUCGGGGGGGAGAUCUUGUGGCUAGAGGCACGGGCAUCUCGAGCUCGAGCUCCUGUCAAUGGCAGCCGAGGGGAACAGAGCAACCGAGAGGAGAGGGGAGGAAUGGAUCGCGGGAAUGGAUAGGGCCGUGCUCGGGGAGGUUAUCCCCGCGCGUGCCAGCGCGAAGUGGCGGCCAGGCAGGCAGGGAGCUACGUGGAGGCGCGGGGCGUCGCGGCGGCCACCUCCUGCUCCUACUGGUGAGGAGGAAGAUGACACGGGAGAUGGGCUUGGGCCAGGUAAGCGUGAGGUAGGUGUUUUGCCUUUCUUAUUUGUUUUGUUUUUCUGAUUUACUAACUAUUUUGAUUUGCUAUUUAUUACAGCUCCAAAAUAGUUUAUAAAGUUAUUUUGAACCCACGAGAAUAAUAGUUGGAAUAUUUCCAACCAUUCCUGAAGUUUUCAACAUUUUUGAAAACUUAAAGUUUUUGAAUUCAAAUUUUAAACUUGAAUCGAGUAGCUUUUUGCAUUUAAAUAAAAUGCCAAAUGGGUUAUGAAAAUAGUUUUCUUCACUGCUUAAUUGCUUUCAAGAAUUAUCAGCAAAGUUGAACUUUUCUUGAGGCCAUUUUGGGUUCAUUGAUUUUAACUAGUUUGAAAUUUCUUUUAAAUUGAGAAGUGGCUAGGGUUUUUGAGUUUUGCUUCACCACUUGCUUUGAUCUUGUUGAAAUUUUCUUGGAUGCAAUGCAAAGAAGAUAUGAGCACAAUGCUAUACUUUGGUUAGGGUUCCAGGGAUGUGACAACAAAUACGUAAUGGACAAUGCUUACCAUACCAUGGGAUCACUUGAUCCCUCUCGGUACAUCUUGUACGCUUUGUGUGUUGAUCAUCUUGAUUUACUCUUUAUCUGACGAUCUUGAUCAACCUUGUGUCUCUAUGACCAUCAUUUGGAUAAUAUCUUGAAUACCACCUUGGUCAUCAUAUAAACUCCUUGAACCUGACAUAUGGACUUCAAGAAGUGCCUAUGGACAAAUCCUAUAAAUAUAACUUAAGGCAAUCAUUAGUCCAUAGGAAUUGUCAUCAAUUACCAAAACCACAUAUGGAGAGAUAUGCUCUAUCAAUCUCCCCCAUUUUGGUAAUUGAUGACAACCACUUCAAGAGAGUUUAUAUAAGGAAAUAAGCAUAACCAAGCGCACACAUACAAAGCAAUAAUGCAUGCGUGCAAGAUGUAAAUGUUUAUGCAAUAAAAGCAAAACCCUCUAAACAUAUCCAAAGUAAACUCUCUAAACUUCUCCCCCAUUGGCAUCGAUUGCCAAAAUGGACGAAAAGUUUGGAAAGCCAAUAUAGUAGGUGGUCCUCCAAAAAGUGUGUACUUCUCAGCAAAUGAGUGCAAAGAAAUACACAAAUACAAUGAUAAGUAGUUGGAGGAAAACAAACUAUAUUGAGGACCCAAAGAUUGCAAAAAGAAGGAUCGUAUGGCACAAAGACAUACAAAAUAGAAGCAAGCAAUCAAAAGAUACCAUAUGGAACAAAUAAUCACAUGGUCCUUCGACCCACAUGAAUAAAAGAUACUAUGAUAAAGGCAAAGGAGUGUUUUAUCAAAACUAGAGAAACUCCCCAUGAUUUGUGCACUAAUAAGAGAUUUUUGUAUUUGAUACAAGUGCACAAAAUAGGAUCGUUGCUCCCCCAAAAUUAAUAAAAACACACAACGAGUGCAAGAAGAUAGAUGAGACAAUAAGCAUAUCACUUGCACAAAACAAAUGGUUGAGCAACAUGUAAAAGAAGCAACUUAAGAUAGGCUCAAGCAAAAUAAUGUGUGUGAGUCAUGGCAAAGCACUUGAGAAGACUAAGAUAAGGAUGAGCAUUACUCAUCAACAUAGUCUUGAUGAAAUGAGAAACAAAGUGCAAGACAUACCAUUCCCACACACACACACACUAUAAAAUGGGUUCACAAGCUUACUAAUAAACAAAAUAAGAACCAACGCUUGCGACAAUCCAUGGUGAAGAGAGGAAAUAAGAAACUUGUCAAGAGGAGGGAUACCAAUUGAAAUGGAAAAACCCUCAACAAGACAAGCAUGAGGAAAAAUAAUCUUCAUGGCCAAAGAGUGCAUCAAGAUGUAGGAAUAUAAGAUACGCACUCAAGACAAAUCCUUUCACGAAGCCACCAAAAACUGAAAAAGGAAAUGCAACGGUGGACGUGAAAGAAAAGAGGAUAUCAAUUAGAGAUGUAACUUCUCUCAUGUGUAAAAGAUUCUAAGUAGAAGACAAUCAUGAUGAUAUAUAUCCACAAAGAAGGAUGUACACACGAAAUGGUUACAAGAAGGAACAAACAAGAUAUCCAAAAGGAAGUCAUAAAUAUAUCAAUAAGAUCUUUUCUUGGAAGCAUAGCACAUGGCCUAAUAUUUUCUUAUUGUACAAUAUGAACUUUCAACGUACGAACAUCAAAUACAUCCCAACAAGCAAUAAGACAUCAUCGUUCGGAUGCUUUGAGAAAGGAGACAAGUACUACAAGAACGAAUCAAGAGAUUCAUGCCAUGAUGCAACCUGGCCAAGAAAACACAGGUUUGGGCCUUUGCAAGAAAUGAAUGCAUGAAGUAGAUACUUGUUACCGAAACAACAUUGGAUUGAUGUAGUAGAUAGUUGUUCGUUGAUCAUCCUAACUUGGCUCCAAUAAUCACAUGGUCUCAACACCUUCCUCUUGUAGGUGAGUCGAGCAUCCAACGCACCUCCAGUUGUUCCUGGAACAACAAAACAAAGAAAAUGGUGCCCAAACUCAUUGGGACCCAAGAGUUAGAAAACCAACAAUACAUAGGACAAACUCCACAUACAUAUGUGCACAUAGAUAUGAAUUUGAAUUUCAUGCACACUUUAGCAAAUUUAUGAAAAGGUGGAGUUUCCCCUAUAUAUUGGGUCAAAGAAAGAAAACAAGCAAAAGAAGCUAUAUAUAGUAAAUAUGCAUGCUCAAGGCUUUCAAGAAUCAACUCAACACAAAGUUGAUAAUACAUCAAAAGACAAGGUAUCAAGUGAUAAUAAGAUACCAAACGAAAAACUAUCACUUGAAGGAUAUCAAUUAAAAGAUACCUCAAGGAAUAAGAUAUCCAUUGACACAUGCCAAAUAAAAGCAAACAAGAUACCAAUUGAAGGAAAACAAACACGAGGUAUCUAGUUUCCAAAAGAGAGCUAGGUUCCAACAAACCAAACCCUCGGCAAAUUUUCAUGAUGGCACAAAGCAUCAAAAAGAGCAAGACUUGCCUCCCAUCAACACACACUUGAUGGGGAUCAAAAGAUCUUAUGAUGGGCAAAUAAAGAGAGUGUUCUAAAGAAAAUAGGAUAGCUCCCCCAAGGGAUGUGCAUAAUAUAGAAUUUGCAUUUAAAUACAAAAUGCACAAGAUGGGUCAUCACUUUCUCUCUCUAUAUAUAUAAAAACACUAGACAUGUUAAAAUAGAUCCACAAGAGGCAAGGAAGACAAACGAAACACAAAAUCGAAUGUAAAGACGAUUAGCAACUUCUACCACAUGAUGGGAAUACCAAUUGUCAAGGACAAGAAGUAUUUUGGAAAUAAUACUCAUUGGUAGACCGUAAAUAUAUCCAACAUCAUAUUUACCCCUAAUUUGCAAGCAAAUGACACUUGUAGAGCUAACAUGCCACCUAGGAACAAGAUAAAUUACAAUAUCAACACUAAGUGGCAAUACCUCAAAUGUACACAUUUUCUAGGCUUGUAAUAUGCACAUAGCAUAUUACUCCCCCAUAAUGUGAUAACCCAACAAUAUUAACAAGUGGAAAAUUAAAAUCAACAAGAGAUAAUUAAUGGACCAUAUAGAAUUUGAAUUUCUCAUGAGUAAGAUAUACCACAUAGAAACUAGAUAAUCUUGAACUAUCAAUACUAAGUGGUAUUCCCCAUGUAUACACAUUUAUAGGAUUGUGAGGUGUGCAAAGCACAUCACUCCCCCACAAUGGGAUAAUCCAUUAAUCUCUCACAAGAGCCAACAAAGAUACAAAUAAGAUGCAAAAAGGCUCAAUACAAGACUCACAUGUACAUGAUGUGCAAACCAACAUACACAUAUUCGAUUACUCAAGAUAAGCAAGUUGGAAGCACAACAUAUACAAACACAUGCAAGGUACAAAACCACAACAUGCAAAGGGGCAAGUAACUAACAAUGUAAACAGUUUAAGUACAAGUUACCGUAAGGAGGCACAUUGGAUAUAAGAUAGAAACUCGAUAAUCCAAAUGACUUGGCUUGAGAUAAUAUGAAUGAUGAAGACCCCUUAAUUAUUCAUUAUGUAUCCAAGUCUCCAAUGUCCUCCACAAUCACCUAUUAAUCAAAUUUGAGCUUGUUGGUCCCCAACCACGUUGGGUCCUAAGAGGUUAGUCACAAUAGGCUUGGCAACCCAAAUGGUACUUUUCUUGACACCACUUUGAGUACCAACAAACUUGGCAAACACAUUGUCAACCUUAUCCUUACCAAGAGAAUAGAUAUCAUCAAUAAUGAUUGGGUUGGAUAAAUUACCUCUCGUGCAAGAAGAAGCAAAGUGACCCUUCUCACGACAUAAGUAGCAACAUCUACCCUUUAAUUUCUUCCCUAUUAAUUUCUCAACAUGAGGAAUGUUGGCGUGGGUCUUCUUGGGAAGAGGCCUUUCUUCAACUUGUAGUUGAGUAUGUGAUUGAACUUGUGGCCACUUCCCAUGUUGCUUGUGACUUUGGGGCUUCUUCUUUAGUGGACAAGAUCUAACAUGGUGCCCUUCAAUUUUGCACUUGAAGCAAAUAAUCUUGGCUGAAUUCUUGACUUGUUCUUGGCCCUUCUUCUUUAAGUUUUUGGACUUAUUCUUCUUGUUGGAGUUGAAUCCAAGUCCAUCUUUGUCAUUCGGGGAUUUUUGCCCACACAAGUCAUUCUUGAGUGUGGACAUCCCUUCAUGACUCUUUUCCAAGUCUUUAUUCAAAGAAGUGAAUUGGGCCUUGAGCUCUUCGAUUUCCUCUACAUAGUUAGUAUCAACACAAGUACUAGAGGAAGUAUAAGCUUCAUUGUUAGAGCAACAAGGCAAGGAAAGUAAUUCAUCACAAGAGGUAGCAACAUUAUGAGUAUAAGAAUUACGAGGACUAGCACAUGGCAAUAUAGCAUUUUGACUAGAAGUAGUGCCAUUGCCCACAUGAGGCCCACUUGAUGUUACCUUGGUAGUAAUAGCCUCAUGAGAUAAUUUUAGCACAUUAUGGGACGCUAGAAGAUCGUGAUGAGAGCUUGUGAGAAUUACAUGACUUUCUUCCAAUUUCCCAUAAUUGCUAGAUAGCAACUCAAGUUGAGCCCUUAGCUCAACAUUUUCCUUUAAGAUGGAUGCUUCACAAGAAGUAGAGUUAGUAGCACAAGCAUAAACAUUAGCAAUAAGAGGAGAAGGCAACUUGUCAAGCUCUUUAGCAUAUGAAGCUUCAAGUUGAGCAUGGGACUCGGUGAGUUCGAUGAGCGAACUCUUAAUAGCCCUUGAGCCAUUUUCAAGGUGCUCAUUGUCCUCAAGGAGUUUAGCACGUGCAACUUCAAGCUUAUCAUUUUUAGUUCUAAAAUCAUUAGCCACCUCGAGAGCUCUAUCAUGGGAUUCCUUUAAUCUAUAUAAUUCUAGAGCAAAGGUUUCCUCAAGAGAUUCCUUGGUGGUUUGUUCAUUUUCAAGAGCUUGAGAUAGAUCUUCGAUCUCAUUAGCGUAAUCACGCUCAUGACCUUCCAUUAUCUCAAUGGUGGCCUCAUGCUCCUCAAGAUGAGCUUCCAACUCCUCAAUGUAUUUCUUGCCCUCACUGGAAAUAGACAUGAUUUCCAAGAAGUUGGAACAAGCAAGCUUAUUCUUAUAAAGAGAUUUAAAAAUCAUUUCACCCUUAAUUUUUAAGGAUGCAAUAUUAUCAAUCUCUUCAUCAUUAUCCUCAUCCCCAUUAUCAUCAACAUCAUCAUCAUGAGAUAUAUUGGGAUUCAAAAUAGGAGAUACCUUUGAAGCCUUAGCCAUAAGGCAAAAGUGAGUAACAAUAGAUGAUGAUGUAGGAUCUCUUGAAGCAUCAUUCAAGGCCACAUCUUGUUCCAUGGAGUGAUGAAUUUCCUCUACAUUGUUAGCACAACAAAUCGAGGAAAUAGAUACAUUUUUAUCAUGGCAACAAGAUAUAGGAAACAUAUCAUCAUGAGAUUUAGUCAAGCAGUUUUUACAUGAUAUGCAAGGACUAUCAACACAAGCAUGUAAAAACAUUUAGAGUGCUUGAAGGGUUAACGCCCAAAGAUGAAGCAUUGCAAUAAUAUAGUGAUGAAGGAUCAUCAACAAUAAGCCCACUGUCAUAAUUGCAAUGAUCUCCACUCCUCACCAUAUCAUUACCUUGUGGCGAUCCACAUGUAGGUGAAGUAGAUGAAGUUGAGAAGACCACACGACCGGAGGUGGAGGGAGAACAAUCAUUCCCACAAAUCUUGGACAUGCCAUAUUUAUCUUGAAGCUUUGUCCACAACUCAUGAGCAUCCCGGAAUGGCAUGAGUUGAAAUAUAACUGCAUUGCUCAAAGCAUCAAAAAGCACAUUAGAAGCUUGAGCAUUGAGAUAAGAGGUUUUCUCAUCCUCUAAAGAUAUAUUUUUAGAAUCCUUUGGAAGAGAAAAACCCAUAUCUACAAUUCGCUCCAAGUUUGGGUCCAUGACCCUAAAGUGAUUAAGCAUGCGAAUUACCCAAACAUCAAAAUUUGUGUCAUCGAAACUAAGAGUGUCAGAGAAUCCUAAACCCCUAGUCAACAUCCUUACUCUCUAGGUGGUUAAACCUAAUAAAGAGAGACCUAGCUCUGAUACCAAUUGAAAGGAUGUGGGUGUCGCCUAGAGGGGGGGUGAAUAGGCGCUUCAAAAUAAUUACGGUUUAGGCUUGAACAAAUACGAAAUAAAACUAACGUUUAAUUUGUCAAGCACAAAACCUACAACAACUAGGCUCACCUAUGUGUGACAAACAACUUAUGCUAAGCAAGAUAAACAACUAAGUGAUAGCAAGAUAUAUGACAAUAAACAAUAUGGCUAUCACAAAGUAAAGUGCAUAAGUAAAGGGUUCGAUAUAACCGAGGCACGCGGAGACGAUGAUGUAUCCCGAAGUUCACACCCUUGCGGAUGCUAAUCUCCGUUGGAGCGGCGUGGAGGCACAAUGCUCCCCAAGAUGCCACUAAGGCCACCGUAAUCUCCUCACGCCCUCGCACAAUGCAAGAUGCUGUGAUUCCACUAAGGGAACCUUGAGGGAGGUCACCGAACCCGUACAAAUGGCAAACUUUGGGGGCGGUCACCGGUACCCGUACAAAUUGCUCGGGGCAAUCUCCACAACCUAAUUGGAGACCCCGACGCUUGCCCGGAUCUUUACACAACAAUGAUUGAGCUUCGAGACACCACCAAGCUUCUAGGACGCCAAAGCAUCCACGAAGAACAAUAUCUAGGGUACUAAGUAUCAAAGGUAGUAAGCUUCUCAAACUUCACUUCCACGUAUAACCGUGGAGAACUCAAACCGAUGCAACUAAUGUAAUGGCAAGGGCACACGGAGUGACCAAGUCCUUCUCUCCAAAAUCCCACCAAAGCAACUAAUACUAGGAAGGAAAAUGAGAGGAAGAACGAAGAAGAACACGAAGAACUCCAAGGUCUAGACCCAAGGGGUUCCCCUCACUUAGAGGAGAAAGUGAUUGGUGGAAAUGUGGAUCUAGAUCUCCUCUCUCUUUUCCCUCAUGAACUAGAAAGACUCAUUGGAGGGAUUGAGAGUUAGCAAGCUCGAAGAAGGUCAACAAUGGGGGAAGAACACGAGCUAAAGAGAUAAGGUUCAAUGGGGAAGAAGACCCCCUUUUAUAGGUGGGGAAAAAUCCAACCGUUAUGCUUCACAGCCCGCACAAAGCGGUACUACCGCUCAUGGGAGCGGUACUACCGCUCGGUAGGUUCACCAACCAUGCUGAGGCCAAAAAGGAUGCAAAAAACAGUCCGACGGAGCGGUACUGCCGCUAGGGAGCGGUAGUAAAAAAUUACUACCGCACCGGGGGCGAUACUAUCGCUACAGGAGCGGUACUACCGUGAAUAUUGAAACUGCUCUGACUUUCGCAUACGGACUCCGAAUUCAACGAAACCAAGUUUGUUGGAAAGCUAACGACAUGGGCUAACACAAUCUUGAUAGAAAUAUCAAUAAGAAGCAAGUGAGUAAAGUCUCAUAAGAAAAUGGUGAGAACCCUUCUUCAAAUAAGACCGGUAAAAACUCCCAACAUCGAAAACAUCAUAGAAGAUGCAUAUGGACUCCAUUUUCGAUGAACUCGAGCUUGUCAUGAAGAUGACCAUAAUAUAUAAAACUCACAAAGAGAAACACCAAACAAGAACCGAGAAGUAUGAUGCAAGGAUGCAAAUGGUUUGAGCUCUCAACGAACGAUACGAUCAAGCUACUCACUUGAGAGCCCCCCUUGAUAGUACGACAAUCUAUCCUAAAACAGAAAACCUAUCAAGGGCAAACCUAUACCUUGCACCUCGUCCUCUUGAGCUAGAUGACGAUGAUCUUGGCUUCCUCAAGAUGGUCCACCUUUCUUGAUUGCGUCGGCUUGAUGAAGACUAGUUGAUUGCUCCUCCAUACACACUAUGGGUGAGCCUCUCUUCAGCAUAUCUUCACAAGUCCAUUGCCACCAUCCUCCACCACUUUACGUCAUCCUCCAUGGGUUGCAUGAGAUCUUUCUCUUGACGCAAGCCCAUGGAAACACACCUAACCCCACAUAGAACUCUCACGAAGACCAUGGGUUAGUACAAAAAUACAUAAUAAACAAUGCUUACCAUACCAUGGGAUCACUUGAUCCCUCACGGUACAUCUUGUACGCUUUGUGUGUUGAUCAUCUUCAUUUACUCUUUAUCUGACGAUCUUGAUCAACCUUGAGUCUCUAUGACCAUUCUUUGGAUAAUAUCUUGAAUACCACCUUGGUCAUCAUAUAAACUCCUUGAACCCGACAGAUGGACUUUAAGAAGUGUCGAUGGACAAAUCCUAUAAAUAUAACUUAAGGCAAUCAUUAGUCCAUAAAAAUUGUCAUCAAUUACCAAAACCAUAUAUGGAGAGAUAUGCUCUAUCACCAACAAUCUAUAUUGCUUCAACGGAGAGCGCUCAAUAUGUUUAGCGUGCAAUCAUAUCAUAUCAGUUAGAGAUAUCAAUGUCUAAACUAUCCACGUAUUAACGCAUAAUUAAUAUCUUAUUUGAUAUCAACAUGCAAUUAAUUUUCUUCCUAAUAUUAACUUGUGUUCUAAGGAACAAAAAAUAUACAAUUAAAAAAACAAAAAAACGAACAAAACUGGCCCCAAAAAUCAGAGAAACCCGAGCUGAAAUCGGGUUCCUAAGGAUUAUAUGGGCUGGCCCCGGUAUAGAUGUGCUGCGUUCGAACAGAGUUAUAUUUGGCGCCUUAAGCGUCAAAUACUAGCAUUUUCGGACGGUUCUCCACUCCCGCGCUCUUGCCUUGCCCUAACAUUCUCCGGCGGCCGUAGCCGGAGAGGCCAACUUCCACCACCUUGUUCCACUCCAGCCAACCACAGUUGAGCCCCCUCCGCGCCAACGCAGCUCGCAUUCACCAUCGACUCCCUCCCGCCCGUUCUCCCGACUCCCGCCCGACCCGACGGCCUCGGUCGAUCGGUCCUCUGCUCGCCUCACGCCAUGCCCACCUCCCGCACGACGGAAUGCCGAACCCAGAACCGCCGCUCCCCCCUUCCCUCUUCAACUCCCUCAUCGCCUCCCGCGCGCGCGCCGGCCGCGCGGCCGACGCCUUCUCGCUGCUCGCACGCAUGCUCGCCGCGGGCGUCGCCCCGACCGCGUUCACCUUCGCGCCGAUCCUCUCCUCGCCCUCCGCGUGCCCCCGCCGCGCCGCGCAGCUGCACCCGCACAUCCUCAAGCGCGGCCUGCUCCACAGCGACCCGUACUCCGGGACGGCGCUGCUGGGGUUCUUUGCGCGGUACGGUCGGUUCGGCGAGGCGCUCGACCUGUUCGGGGAAAUGCCUGCGCGGAGCGUCGUCACCUGGAACUGUCUCGUCUCUUCGUUCGCGCAGCAUGGGCGUGACGAGGACGCCGUGUUUUGGUUCAGGGAACUCGUGAGGAGCUGCGAUGGCUUGUCUGAAGGCUCUCUCGUUGCGGUCUUGCCUGCGCUUGUGUCCCCGGGCCUGGUUCAUGGGCUUACCAUCAAAACUGCAACGGAUUCCUUCUCGGCAGUUGCCAACUCGUUGCUGAAUUGUUACUGUGCUUGUGGCACAGUGUGCGCGGCAGAGAAGCUAUUUAAUGGUUUGAUGUUCAGAGAUGUGGUUUCGUGGAAUACAAUGAUCACUGCUUUUGCUAGGAGUAACUUCCCAAGGAGAGCUUUUGAGCUUUUCUCAGCAAUGUAUGGUCAGAGUGUUUCUCCAGAUGAAACUACAUUUUCCAGUGUUCUUUACGCAUGCACCAGUAUAAAUGCACAGGAGCAUGGGAAGUCUGUUCACGCCAAAUCUAUCAAGCAUAACCUCAAUACUACAGUAUUUGUGAGUACUUCACUGGUCGAUUUCUACAACAAAUGUGUUGGUAGGAGGGACGCUCUUAAAGUACUUGAAGAGGUUCCUCAUAAGAGCACUGCAAGUUGGAAUGCUCUGCUUUCUAUCAAGUCAGAUGGUGAUUUUCCAACUCUGUUUAUGAUUCUGAGAGAUAUGCUGCGAUCAGGGAUUAGCCCAAAUGAAUUUACCUUUUCUUCCUUGCUCAAGGAUCUAUCACUGUUGGAUGUGCAUCAGAUUCACGCAUUGGUCACAAAACUGGGUUAUGACGGUAAUGACUAUGUUUCAAGUGCUAUUAUAUCUUCCUAUGUCUCACAUGGCUUUGUUUCUGACGCCCUGGCUUAUGGAGUUACAUUGGAUCCUGACUCCUGUAAUGUAUCCAUGAAUGUUUUAGCUGGGGCAUAUAAUAGAGCUCACAUGUACCAAGAGACCAAGGAGCUACUCUUACAUCAGCAAACUAGUGAUAAUAUAUCAUGGAGCAUACUUAUUACUGCUUGUUCACGGAAUGGUGAUUAUACUGAAGCUUUUGGACUUUUCAGACAGAUGAGAAUUUUGGGGCAUCAUUUUGAUAACUAUGUAGCUGUGAGCUUGCUGAGUAUUUGUACAAAAGUUAACAGCCUUGUUCUUGGUAGGCUGGUGCAUGGGGUAAUCAUCAAGACCAGUUAUGGGUGCUCAGACACUCGUACUAAUAAUAUGUUGCUAGAUAUGUAUGCUAAAUGUGGUAGAAUUGAAGACUGUCUGAAAGCCUUUGAGGAAAUGGAAGAUAGGAACGUAAUCUCAUGGACAGCUGUGAUUUCAGGCCUUGCACUUAACGGUUUUUCUCGUAAGGCCCUGGCAUGGUUUAAAGCUAUGGAAGAGGCUGCUGUCAAACCUGACAAAGUAGCAAUUCUGGCAGUCCUUUCAGCUUGUAGACAUGGAGGACUUGUGCAGGAGGGAAUGGAGAUAUUCAAACGUAUGGAAGCUGAUUACUCAACUGAAGCUGGGAUGGAGCAUUACAUUUGUGUGGUGGACAUGCUAUGCAAGUGUGGUCAUCUAAAGCAAGCUGACUCUGUGAUUAGAGGCAUGCCUUUCCGCCCGAGUUCUAUUAUUUGGCGCACAUUCCUCCAAGGAUGCAAUACAUAUGGCAUGCUAGAUACGCAAGUGUUUAGCUAGUGAUGAUCUUGGUAAACAAUAGAGGUGGGUGUUUUCUCACAUGAAUUCAGGAAAUGGUUGUUGCCAAAUUAAUAUUUGGAUUAUGCUAGAUAUCAAAUGAAUUUUGGUUGCACAUAGUGUUGAUAUUGUUACAACAUAAUGUAGGUUGUCAUUUAAAUCAUAUGUUUGAACAACCUAGUAAUGGAGGAUAUGUGAUUACUGGACACCUUUAUCAGCCACUUGUCAGGACUCAGCAAGGUGAUCAGCCGUGUAUUUGAACAGUGAUGUUGGCGCGAAGCAACAGGAGCCCUCCAUCCAAGAUCCAACGCGCGAGAAGACUCCAUACCCCUUCGCUUUAAGGGAGUCGGCGGCUACCGUGGAUGCUCGAUCGGACGGCGAUCCGCGUGCCGGGCGUCCCUGUCGCUAAUCCGGCACGCCACCUUUCUUCUUCUACUACUUUUUGCUUUUCCUUUCGUUCCACCUUUGUAAGGCUAUAUAAGCCACGGAUCAGGCUCGUUUUGAGCUCAUCUUUUUGCUAGGGUUUACCCCAUUGCGCCGCCAGUGUUCCUGGCCGACUACUUUGUACUCGAACCUCUUAAUUCCUCCCCGAUUUGCCGAGUAAAGUGGCUAGUUCGAGUGAAAUUCGACCAUGUUCUUGUUCUUCAGUUAGCAGAGUCUGACAAUGGUAUUCAGAGCCAGUCCUUCCUCAGAGAAGUUCUAGAUCUUCCGGUGGCGUGAAUUGGGGGAAGAGCAGGGAAAAUCCUCCCUCCCUCCCGAUCCAGGCGGCGGUUAGCUGACGGUGGCGGCGAUCAUUCGGUACAGAUCUGGUCAGGUUAGUGGUUGCAAAAGCUCAUUGCUUGCGUAGUAAAAUCCCACCACCCUCCCGGAUCCGGUGUACUUGGUGGCGCGGCGACGGCGGCGGUGUUGGCGGCGGCAGAACUAACAACACCAGUUCGGGUUGCAGCUGCGGCUGUGGUAAAAUUCCUCUCUUGUGUUGUCUAGUUUCAGUGGGGUUUUAGACACUCUGUCAGAACCCUCUCUGCUCCUCUCAUGGCUAAGGUGGUUGCCCCCGCAGACUCCACCUCCAUUGAUCAGUUGGAGUUUACCUCCCUCCAACUCGUUGUCCAACUUCUGCAGAAAAAUAGGGAACAGGACAGAGUGGAGUUUGAUGAGUUCAUGGACUAUGUGCAUGGCAACUUCCACAACUUGCAGAAAUCUUUGGGUGACUUGCAGGGCACAUUGUCUACUUUUAUCUCUGGGUUUCCUAAACUAAGAGAGGUGCAGCCCAACCCUCAAGAUGUUCCUCAAGCCAGUGUUAUUGCUCAUACACCACAAGGCCCUCUAAACAAGUUCCGAGAUGCUCAACAAUCCCCUGUAACUGUGGGUUCUGCAACCUUGGUGGACAAGAAUUCUGGAAAGGAAUUAAACCUUGAUGGUACACUCAAAUUACCCUACAGACAUCCCCAUUUUGCAGACAACAAGCAUGCCACUACUGAAGCUAAGAACCCAGUGGUUGCUCACCAAGUGCCCCCUGGCCAGCAAGUUACUAACUUGGAGCAGGAUCAAGGUUGUUAGGAAUAAGCAACUUGUAUUCCCAUGAGGCCAUAGGCCAGUAUAUAUACAUGUACAGGUGGUGGACUAUAUGCAGGAAACCCCUUAUAUAUUGGGAUAAAUACAAAAGGGUACAUGACUUAUAUUAUAACUCUAACACCCCCCUCAAACUCAUGGUGGAUGAACAACACUGAGUUUGGAGAGAUAAAAGCCAUGUUGUGCUCUAGUCUGGGCCUUCGUCAGGAAAUCCGCCAACUGUAACUCGGAAGGCACAUACUGAAGAGCAAUAACCUGAUCCUGCACAGCAGCGCGCACAUAGAAAGCAUCAACGCCAAUAUGCUUGGUGAGCUCAUGCUUCACAGGGUCGCGCGCAAUGCUAAUAGCACCUGUACUGUCACAUAAGAGUAGAGUCGGUGUAGUGACAGAAACACCAAAAUCCUGAAGUAACCACCGUAACGAAGUCACCUCUGCCAUCAAAAGAGCCAUCGCUCGCAACUCAGCCUCUGCACUCGAACGGGAAACUGCAAUCUGUUUCUUCGUCUUCCAGGCAAUGAGAGAACCACCAAGAAAAACACAGUAAGCAGAAAGUGAACGGUGAUCUGAAGGAUCACUAGCCCAGGUAGCAUCCGAAUAGGCCUGAAGCUUUAAAGAACUGGAGCAAGGAAAGAAUAGACGGUGAGAGAUCGUGCCCCGAAGAUAUCGGAGAACACGGAGGAGAUGACUAUAGUGAACCGAUGUGGGAGCAGAGACGAACUGACUCAGAAUAUGAACCGGAUAAGAGAUAUCCGGACGAGUGACAGCCAGGUAAACAAGACUGCCAACAAGAUGAUGAUAACGCGUCGGGUCAGGCAGGGGAUCACCAUCAGUAGCGCAUAGGUGAACAUUGAGCUCCAUAGGAGUCUCAACAAUGCGCUCAUCAGUAAGAGCAGCACGAGCAAGAAGAUCCUGGAUAUACUUUUCCUGGGAUAUAAAGAAGCCAUCAGAGGUAGAAGAAACUUCAAUCCCAAGAAAGUAGCGAAGAGGUCCAAGAUCAGACAUAAGGAACUGCUCACUAAGACGGGCCUUGACAAAGGCAAUAUACUCGGGGUCAUCCCCAGUGAUGACCAUAUCAUCAACAUAGAGAAGAAGAAGAGUCCGACCACGAGGAGAAAGGUGAAUAAAUAAUGCUCGAUCAUGAACACUGGGUGAAAAACCAGCGGCAGUCACCACAGAGGCAAAACGCUCAAACCAGGCACGGGGGGCUUGCUUAAGGCCAUAGAGAGAGCGACGAAGACGACAUACCAUGCCAUCAGGAACAGAAUACCCAGGUGGUGGCUGCAUGUACACCUCCUCACGCAGCUCACCAUUAAGAAAAGCAUUCUUAACAUCAAGCUGAGAGAUAGACCAGUGGCGUGUAGAGGCCACGGCAAGAAGUGUACGAACAGUGGUCAUAUGAGCCACAGGAGCAAAAGUCUCGUAAUAAUCACGACCAUGCUCCUGCUGAAAACCACGAGCCACAAGACGAGCUUUGUGACGCUCAAGAGAACCAUCAGAGCGAGUCUUAACCUUGUAGACCCACUUACAAGUGAUGGGACGAACUCCGGGAGGAAGAGAAACAAGAUCCCACGUACCAGUGCGUUCAAGAGCAGCAAUCUCCUCUGCCAUCGCAAACUGCCAUUCAGGAUGAACAACAGCCUGAUGAUAAGUAGUCGGCUCAAGAAUAGCAGCACCAGCGGUGAAAAAUCCAAAGCGAUCAACAGGCGGAGGAGGACGAGAACGCAAACCAUAAGUAGGCUGAGAUGAGGAUGACGACACAUCCACAGAGGCAUCCACAGAACGUGAACGACGAGUGUAACACUGAGGAAAAGAUGGAACAAUGGAAGGAGGAAUCGCCAAGGUAGAAUCGGGGAGUGACGACGAAGAAGUCACCGGAGAGGAAGGUGUAGACUCCGGUGACAUGCUAGACGAGGAGACCGUGGAAGAUGGUGGCGACAAAUCGACUAGAGGUGGAGAAGCAGAGGGAGCGGAACGAAUAGGCAAAGGCUCGACAGGUGUGAUAGGUGUGUCAGGAAAAGUGAGAAAAGAGACAUCCUCCACUAAAAAGGUCGAGGAAGAUGGGCGUGGAUAGAAGGGACGAGACUCAUCGAAAGUCACAUCCCGAGAGAUACGCAUCCGACGACCGAUAGGAUCCCAACAACGAUAGCCCUUAUGCUCAUCACUAUAGCCUAAGAAGACACACUCAACAGACUGAGCGGUCAGUUUGGUGCGUUCGCGGGGGGCAAGAAGAACAUAGCAAACACAACCAAACAAGCGAAGCAUCGAAUAAUCAGGAGAACGAUCAAAAAGAUGCUCGAAAGGAACACCACCCUGUAGAGCAGCGGAAGGCUGGAAAUUGAUGAGAUAGGUGGAGGUGGAGACGGCCUCAACCCAAAAAUGAGGCGGGAGAGAGGCAACAAUCAUCAAUGCACGAGCCGUCUCAAGAAGAUGACGAUGCUUGCGCUCAGCCACGCCAUUCUGAGCAUGAGCACCAGGACAAGAGAAUUGAGAGAGAGUCCCUUGCUCAGCAAGAACACCACGCAACAUCUUAGAGAUAUACUCGCCAGCGGAGUCAGCACGAAACACACGAAUGGGAGAAGAGAACUGAGUAUGAACCAUGGCAGCAAAACGCUUAUAAAUGGACAACACCUCACUACGAGAAGUCAUGAAAUAAAGCCAUGUGUAACGAGAGAAGUCAUCUAUGAAAAUAAUAUAGUAUUUAUGACCCCCUUUCGAAGCGAAGGGAGCCGGACCCCAUACAUCGGAAUGGACUAAAUCAAAAGGACGCUUAGACACUGACUCACUAUGUGGAUAUGGUAACUGAAUCUGCUUGCCAAGACGACAACCCUGACACUCUAAGGAGGCAUCUCCUGAGACAGACCCCAGAAGACCUCGACGAACUAACGACGACAAACGAGAACCACACAAAUGACCAAGUCGAUGAUGCCACUGCUGGAAAGAACCAGUAGCCGAGGCGACCAAAGCGGAAGAACUGGCGAUAGAGUGGGCAGCGGAAGGAACAUGAAGCCAGUCCAACUCCCAAAGACCCUCAGAAUCACGGCGGCGAGGACCAGCCCCAACCAGAGUGUGCGUGCGACGGUCCUAGACAGAACAAGAGUCAAGGUCAAGGAUGACACGACAACCAGAAUCAGCAAGUUGACCAGCGGAAAACAAAUUCAUGGUAAGUCAAGGAACAUGAGCAACAUCAGGAACAGAAUAAGAAGGAGUGGUAAGAGUGCCUCUACUAACGACAGGAAGGGGAGUACCAUCAGCGGUGAGGACAUGAACAGGAGAAUCAAGCGAUCGAAGAGAGGACAGAGUGGAAGAAUUAGAAGUCAUAUGAAAGGAAGCUCCAGAGUCCAGAACCCAUGGGGAUGUACCUGACUGUGUAGAAGGUGGUUGCUCAGUGCGGGAAGCCUCAGUCAUAGAACCAGCAGUACCCGUUGAGGAAGAACCUGAAGCAGCGAGCAGACGCUUGAGUCUCAGAAUAUCCUGCUCAGUCAAAGCGAUGGCUGAAACUGUCGAGGUAGAUGACGAAGUCGCUGUAGAUGAUGACCGCGCCUUGCGCAAGUGUUUCUUCUUCGUGUAGCAGUGGGACUCAAUAUGACCAUCAUUGUUGCAGUAGUUACAAUGUGGACGGGGGCGACCUGAGCCGCCAGAAGGAGUGGGCAAGAGCGGCGGAGCACUCGAGCGAGAAGGGGUCGGUGCAGCAGGUGGCGUAGAAAAAGUCCGAGCAGCGAGCACCGAGGGAACCUCCAGCAAACCAGCACCACGUAAGCGAGUCUCCUCAGCACGAAUCUCAGAAAGCGCCUCCAUGAGAGAAAUACGGCCACGAGCAAACAACUGAGCACGCCGGGGCUCAAAUUCCUUACGGAGCCGAGACAGGAACUCGUAGACGCGAUGAAACUCCAAGUCGGCCUGGACAGCCUGGCAACAGGGGCAAGUACGACAACCAGCACUGCGGAGAGAAUCAAGCUGGCGCCAGAUAGCAGAACUCUGUGCAUAGAAGUCAUCAACAGUAGAGUCACCCUGCUGAAGAGCAUGCUCCUGACGGACCACAGAGAGGUAUAAGGCAUCACCAGAGGGGCAUCACCAGAGGGCUCAUAGCGCUGACGAAGGUGGGUCCACAUCUCAAAUACAGUAGGAAGGCCCAGAAACUCAGAAGCAAACUCAGGCAGAACACUAGCAGUGAGAACAGCGGCAGCACGAGCAUCAUCAUUAAGCCACUGGGUGUAAACGGACAGAGCAUCAUGGUACACCUGAAGAGCCUCCUCAUAAGCCAAGACCUUCUCAUCAUAAGCACUCACAGCGGCCUCAUCAGCAAGCUUAGUCGCAUCCUUUGCGGCCUGAGAAGCAUCCGCAGGAAGAGCCGAUGGGGUCGGCGGAGUGGGAGCCACGGGAGGAACCGGACAUGGCGGACAACAGACCUCGCCGGAAAGAAAACCCCAUAGGCGGAUGCCACGCAUGUGAAUGCGCAUGAAGCCAAUGAACUCGGUGUAGUUAGUGCCAUCAAAGAUCACUGGACAACGAGGAACAGCAACGUAGCCGGUGACGGGAACCAGCAGGGGAACGAGAACCAGCAGAGGCGACGGGAACCAGCACACGGCCUCGCCUCGAUCUGGUGGUGACGGGAAUUAGCAGGCCCGCGCCUCGAUCUAGUGGUGACAGAACCAUCAGGGGAACGGGAACCAGUAGAGGCGACGGGAACCAGCUAACUGCCGCGCCUCGAUCUGGUGGCGAUGGGGAUCAGCAGAGGCGACAGGAACCAGAGCGCCUCGCCUCGAUCUAGUGGCGACGGGAAUCAGCAGAGGCGGCGGGAACCAGAGCGCCUCGCCUCGAUCUGGUGGGAGUAGGCGACGGGGACGGGAUGCAGGCGGCCGCGCCUCGAGCUGGUGAGGACGAGAACCAGCAGGGCGACGGGGACCAGCAGGGCGACGGGGACCAGCAGGGCGACGGGAGUAAGCGAUGGGGAACGACCCGGACAGGCACCCAGAACGACUUCGGCCAGGAGCGAAGCGAGAUUCCAGGAGCCAAGAGCCCGGCGUUGACUUGAGACGUUGAGCGCGACGGGAACCAGCAGCGAGACGGAAGGCGACUGCGCGGAGACGAGAUUGGAUCGGAGCACGAGUUGCGCGUGCGAGAAAAAACCCUAAGGCUCUAAUACCAUGUUAGGAAUAAGCAACUUGUAUUCCCAUGAGGCCAUAGGCCACUAUAUAUACAUGUACAAGUGGUGGACUAUAUGCAGGAAACCCCUUAUAUAUUGGGAUAAAUACAAAAGGGUACAUGACUUAUAUUAUAACUCUAACAAAGGUGAGGGACAAAAUGCUCAUUUGGACAGAAGGUUUGGCACUGCAAACAGAGACUGGUCUCCAGAGAUCAGAAGAGUGCACACUCUGGUAAAACCUGCCAAAUACAACAUCCCUGAAUUUGAUGGCACCAACACUGACUCCUGGAUUCAGACAAUUGAAAUGUAUUUUUAAGUUGCCAGAACUCCCCUGGAACAAAAGACUGAAAUUGCUGUAACUUACUUGACAUGACCUGCAAUUGAGUGGUGGAGAGGCACAGGUAUCAUUGCUAAUACUUUGCCUUGGUACAGGUUCUGCAGACUGAUAGGUGACAGGUUCUCUGAAACUUCAGUUUGUGACAAUGUCAGAACAUUUCAUGCCCUUACCCAGACUGGAACUGUCAAUGACUAUGUACUACAGUUUGAGAAAUCCAUGAACCUAAUCAGAAGGGAUAACCCAGCAUUGCCCCAGGAGUACUACAAAACAAGCUUCAUUGCUGGCCUGUCUCACAACAUUCAACAUCAUGUCCAAUGUCAUGAACCUCCUGACUUACACAAAGCUAUUUGGCUAGCUAGAAGAAUGGAGCAAUCUCAGCCAGCUAAGAAAGUACAACAACCAUUCUUCAGUCACACUGUCAAAAGGCAAAUUUAGUUUGACCCUGGAAAACAACCUCCCAAUUCCACUGCCACUGUUAUUCAACAAGCAAGGUUGAAGGGCAUUUGCUAUAAGUGCAAGGACCCAUGGUUCCCAAGGCACAAAAAGGUCUGUAAACUAGCAAAUCAAAUCCAAAUACAGGCACUACAAGAGAGUUACCCUGAGGAUGCAGAGUUAGUAUAUUAUACUGCUGAAAGUGGUGAUGCUGACACUCCACCUCCUAUGGAUAGUGAUGACCCUCCAUUACAAAUAUCAAUGCAUGCCUUGAUGGGAAUGAGAGCUACUAGGAAACUGAGCUUCACUGUGACUGUCCUGUUAGGAAAUAUCCCUGCCACAGCCCUCAUUGACAGUGGUAGCACUGCUACAUUCAUCACACCAUCUUUAGCUUAGAAAGCAAAAUGUGCUAUAACCCCAACCAAGAGGAGACAAGUGAUUGUGGCUAAUGGUGCUACACUCUGGUCAGAGUUCAUUGCACUUAACUGCCCCUUUUCUCUUCAAGGAACUAACUUCUCCACAGAUUUCAGAGUGUUGCAACUACAGGGUUAUGAUGUAAUCCUAGGGGCUGAUUGGAUGGCUGCAUUUAGUCCUGUGGAACUUGACUUUGAUGAGAUGCAUGUCAUAGUCACAUUACCUGGAGGUGAAAACAAAAUAUUCCAAGAUGAGAGUCUACCCACUGUACCAGUUCAAGAAAUUCUUCCCAAUGAAACUAUUCCCAGUGAACCUGUGUGUGGAGCUGUUCUUUUGCUUCACAGAAUUAUAGUGAAAGAACAUGUGGAUCUAACUGUGCCUGAACCAAUACAGAAGAUUCUCAAUGAAUAUUCCCCUGUUUUUAGCACACCAACAACUUUACCCCCCAAAAGGGCUAUUGAUCAUGUUAUCACAUUCACCCCCCAAGCUAAGGUCAUUAACCAGAGACCUUAUAGAUUGCCUCACCACCAGAAAGAUGCAAUGGAAAACAUAGUACAAGAGAUGAUCAAGUCUAAAGUUAUCACGGACAGUAACAGUCCUUAUUCUUCCCCUGCACUUUUGGUGAAAAAGGACAUGACAUGGAGGCUGGUCAAUGAUUUCAGAAAAGUGAAUGAGCAGACUGUGAAAAACAAAUAUCCCAUCCCUGUUAUUGAAGAUCUCUUGGAUGAACUGAAAGGUGCAACAGUCUUCUCCAAGUUGGAUCUGAGAAGUGGUUAUCACCAAAUCAGAAUGAAAGAGGGUGACAUUGAGAAAACUGCUUUUAGCACACACUGUGGACACUAUGAAUACUUGGUGAUGCCCUUUGGACUCACCAAUGCUCCUGCCACAUUCCAGCUCCUCAUGAACACUAUCUUAGCCCCUUACCUAAGAAAGUUUGUAUUGGUCUUCUUUGGUGAUAUCCUGGUCUAUAGCAGAAAUAUGAAGGAACACCUGCAACAUCUCAAACUUGUUCUAGAAGCACUGCAGUCAAAUCAGUUUGCAAAGCUUAGCAAGUGCUCUUUUGCUCAACCACAAGUGGAAUACUUGGGUCAUGUCAUCACGGGUGAUGGGGUUGGUACUGAUCCUACAAAAAUUGAAGCCAUUAUUCAGUGGCCAGCACCUGAGAAUGUACCUCAGUUAAGAAGUUUCUUGGGCCUAACUGGUUACUACAGGAGAUUUAUUCAACACUAUGGGUUUAUCUAUAAACCUCUGCUCAACUCCUUGAGAAAAGACAAUUUCCAGUGGGGGUCUGACCAAAUGGAGGCUUUUAACAUACUAAAACACAAAAUGACUCAAGCCCCAGUCUUAGCACUUCCAGACUUUUCUCAGCCUUUUAUAUUGGAAACUGAUGCUUGUGCAUAUGGCAUUGGUGCUGUGUUGAUGCAAGAGGGUAGACCACUCUCUUACUUCAGUAAAACUAUUGGCCCAAAAGCUGCAGCAAUGUCCACUUAUGAUAAAGAAGCUUUAGCAAUUAUUGCAGCACUGAAGCACUGGAAACGUUACUUUGCUGCAUCAGCACUAGUAAUCAGAACUGACCAGCAAAGCUUGAGAUACAUUCAGGACCAAAAGAUAACAGAGGGGAUCCAACAUAAAUUAUUAAUCAAGUUGCUGGGAUAUAAUUUCAGAAUUGAAUACAAGCAAGGGAAGAACAACAAAGUUGUUGAUGCAUUAUCCAGAGUCCAAUAUAGAUUACACUCAUUAAUUGCUAGCCAAGCUUAGCCCAGCUGGUUAACUGAGGUUGUUGCUAGUUAUGCUCAGGACCAAAAGUGCAAAGAUCUCCUAGCUCAACUGGCCAUCUCUGCAACUUUUGUCCCUAACUUUACCUUGCAACAAGGACUGUUGAGAUACAAAAACAGAUUUGUCAUUGGUUUGGACAAUGCCCUUAGAACCAAACUAGUAUCAGCAAUGCACAACUCUGAACUAGGGGGCCACUCUGGACACAGAGCAACUUACCAAAGAAUGAAACUCCUUUUCCACUGGCCAGGCAUGAAGAAAUUUAUUGUGGAAUUCAUCAAACAGUGCCCAACUUGCCAGAUCAACAAACCUGAGCAUUGCAAGUACCCAGGAUUACUGCAGCCCCUCCCAGUUCCUGACUUUGCUUGGUGUCACAUUAGCAUGGAUUUCAUUGAAGGUAUCCCUACCUCCCAAGCAAAGGACAUGAUUCUUGUAGUGGUGGACAGAUUCACCAAGUACAGUCACUUUAUUCCAAUGAAACACCCCAUUAUUGUCAGUACAGUUGCAAGAGCCUUUACUGAAAAUAUAUUCAAGUUGCAUGGACUCCCUUCAGUUAUUGUCACUGACAGAGAUAGAAUCUUCACCAGCAACCUCUGGCAAGAACUGUUCAAGAAACUUGGCAUCAAACUGCACAUGAGCACUUCCUACCACCCUCAGUCUGAUGGUCAAACAGAGAGGGUUAAUCAAUGUCUGGAGAACUACUUAAGAUGCAUCGCUUUCCUCCAACCUCAAAAGUGGAUGCAAUGGCUUCCCCUAGCUGAGUGGUGGUAUAACACUAGUUACCAUACAUCACUCCAGCUCACACCUUUCCAAACUUUGUACAACAGACCACCUAACAUGCUUUCUGAAGCUGCUCUUUAUCCUGCUGACAUGGUUCAGGAAUUCUCCUCCAUCCUAAAUGCAGAACAACUGGUAGCUCAGAUCAAGGGUAACCUUCUCAAGGCACAGCAAAGGAUGAAGCUCUAUGCUGACAGAAAGAGAUCUGAAAGAACACUGGAAGUGGGAGACAUGGUCUAUCUGAAGCUCCAACCUUACAGGCACACCACCCUAAGCUUGCAUAGAUGCCUUAAGCUACAUUCCAAGUACUAUGGACCCUUCAGAAUUAUCCAGAAAGUGGGGCCUGUAGCUUACAAACUGUUGUUGCCUGAUCAUUGCAAGCUUCACCCUACAUUCCAUGUCAGCCAACUUAAAAAGCACCUGGGCCCACAGGCCAUACCCAACCCUCACCUCCCUCUACUCCAUAUAGAUGGAACCAUCUUAUUGGAACCUCAGAAGAUACUGGAAAGAAAACUCAUUCCUAGGGUGCAGGGAGAUAUUCAAAUUCCAGUGGUCAGAUGGCUCAUUAAGUGGACCUACCUUGCUGAACAGGAUGCCACCUGGGAGGAUGGCUCUUUUAUCCAAAAAUUAUUCCCGGCAUUCCAGCCCUGAGGACAGGUCUGAAGUUACUGGGGGGGGGGGGGNCGCCAGUGUUCCUGGCCGGCUACUUUGUACUCGAACCUCUUAAUUCCCCCCCGAUUUGCCGAGUAAAGUGGCUAGUUCGAGUGAAAUUCGACCCUGUUCUUGUUCUUCAGUUAGCAGAGUCUGACACCACUUCACCUCUUUUGUUCGCUCCAUUAUAUCUAUGAAGGGUGUUGAUUGGAAACAUCCUCAUUUGAUGAACCUUUUCUGGUUGGUGGUUCAUUGUGGGUCGGCAUUUCUUUGCUCCCUUCCAUUGUUCCAUUGGUUUGGUUUUGUGCUCUGUCAUCAUCUAGUGGCUAAUUGCAGAAGGAAAAGGCCUCUGUCUUUCUGCAUGUAGCAAUGCAAGCUAGCAAAAGGUGCCUUGUGUCCAUGUUAUUUACAUUCAUGGUCAGAAUUGUGCAACAUGGAGGAGGCGAAAAGGGUGGCUUCUAUUCCAGUUGACUUGGAUAUGUUGCCCUUAAAGAUCCAGCCCUCCAUAUGCUCAAUGAAAUGUUCACUGUGGAAGUUAGAACUUGAAACUGGUUGUCAUUCUUUGUGGAAGUUACAAAGGAGGUGUUAAGGUCCACAAAGAAAAUUGGAAAUGUGUACCUAGUUUUAUUUAGAAGAAAUGUGUACCUAGUUGGAAGUAUCUGAAGGAAUAUUGUACAGUGACUGAAUUCAGUUAUUCAUGUAAGAAAUGGUAUAUGCGAAAUGAAGAUGAUCUCAUGACAUAAAGUUAAGUGAGCGUCAAUCUACUGGGUUCGGUGGUUCACUUUCUGUACCUAAAGAAAUGUUUCAGUUUGCAGGUAAAAGGAGAGUAAACGGAGAAGAGCUGUUGUCAAAAUACCAUGGUGUGGUAGCCACUCGCAGCCUAGGGAAAUGUGGAAAAUAACUGGAACAUGUUCAGUAAGAUCCCCUCCUAUUUACUAUCCUUGACUUGUGAAUCUAAUUGAUGGUGACCUGCAUGAUCAUACCAGACCAAUGCAUUUAUAAUGAUUAGAAUUGUGAGGCUGCUGUCACCAGGUGUGUUCUUGCUCAAUGAGUAUCUGAAACGUGGAUUCCUUUUUGGUAAACAAGUUCUUGCAAGGCGCCUCUUAGCAUCAUGGAUUAGUCAGCCAAGGUCGUUAGGCUGUGGCAAAUCGGUUGCAAAGAUGAUAAAGCUCGAGUCAGGACGGAGGCACUAACUAAUUAUCAGAGGUACACACCUUUUGACGAAGCAUGCACAUUAGUAGCAAAAUAUGGGUUAUAUAAUACCCAAGCAUGGGCUUUUAUUGGCUAUUGCUUUUCAUUCCACUAGGCAUUGUCUACGUACCUCCAAAGGUUUGCGUUUACUAAUUGAAUGAUGACCAGGCACUGUUGUGCUGGUACUGUAAAGGUGAUCUGGUCAAAGAAUUCAAAGCAUUAUCUAAUCCAAUGGCUGGUGGGCUGAGAUAUCACGACCUCCGUAUCAAGCUGGGAUUGCAAAGAUUGACAGUUGAAGGAAGAUCCAGCUUACUAGAUAGUACAUGUGUAACGAUUUUAAAUUAUAAUUAACUUUGCUUGCUGCCAUAUCUUAUGCGUGUUGCAAGGUAGUGCAUCUCUGAAUUGCGGGCAGGUAAACUGGCAUUGUCCUAGGUACGACACCUUGAUGCAGAUUGCAACUGUGACCACUGACUGAUGUCUAUCUGCAUACUGUCGCAAUUUGUUCUCUGUGACUGGAAAAUGCAGACCUAAGGUAGGAGCCCUCCCUCCACGGGGUUUACUGUAUUCUGAUCAGUGUGAACCUUGGUUUGGCUCAAAGGAAUUUCGUAGGAAUUUUUCCUGAAGUUUGUUAUGUUCUUACGAUUAGAAACCAUAGGAAAUAUUCCUAUGGUCUACUUUGUAUACAGUUUCAAAGAAAAAAAAUCAUUAAGCCCAGCCUCAUUGAAAUUUUCUUUGUUUCUAUGAUAACUAUGCCAUGCACCUAAUGCUAUAGAAAAUUAUUGCAUUUUUCCUGUGGUACUACCAAACAGCUUCUAUCACUAAUCCAUGUGUUUUCGUUUCCUUAAAAUUCAACAUAGCAUGCCAUCCCGUUUCUACGACAAAUUGAUAACUAUGCCAUGCACCUAAUACUAUAGAAAGAUUCUUGCAUUUUUCCUGUGAUGCUACCAGACAGCUUCUGUCACUAAUCCGUGUGUUUACGUCUCCCUAGGAUUCAACAUAGCAUGCCAUCUCAAUCAUGUGUUUCCUCUAUUCCCGUGUUUUAAGAAUCCUAUGGACCAAAGAGGCCACACGACACCAUACUUUUGACAUUUCGUUGUGAUGUCACUUACUUUAUCAUUCUAGUAUCUGUUCAAAUCUGGGCCUUAGGCCCAUAAAAGAAUUUCAGAAAUUUUCAAGGGCCCAUGUAGGUGGUGACAUGACAAGGUGAUGAUGGAAAGUUUAGUCUCACCCUGCUAGUGGAGAAGAAGUUGGACCCCUGUAUAAGGAUCUCUCUUCUACAUGCUAUUGGAGAGUGAGAAGAGAAGAUGCCCUCGCGCACUCCUCCUCCGCCGCCCGCCUCGCCGCCGCGGGUUGCAGGGAAUGAGCCCUGGCCCGCCAGCCCGCCAAUACGGCACGACACGGGCCCGGCCCAACACCAAUUUAAACGGGUCGUUCCAGGCACGGCCUGGGCCGGCACGGUCCGUUUAUUUUUUUACAUAUUUUUAAAUAUUUUAUAUAUAUAUAUAUAUAUAUAUAUGGCCUAAUAGACCUAAAAACAAGCCCAUGAGGCUGAAAUUGUGCAGCCCGGCGUGUUAAUCGGGCCAACAGGCCGGCCCGUUUAGUAAUCGGGUCGUGCCUGGGCCUGUAGGCGCAGCCCAUGGGCUGGCACGGCACGGCCCGAUUACUAAACGUGCCUCGGCAGGCCGUGUCAGGCCAGGCACAUUUAGCACGGGCCGGUCCGUUUGGCCAGGCAUGGUAUAACCUAUUUAUCCCGCUCCUGUUUAUUUCUGUCCUAGUAGUACUACGUAGUACUUGCUAGUAUGCUCCGUGAUCUGUAUGUCAUGAAUCUAGUGAAUGCCAUGUUAGUAAUUAUUUCAUGGAUUAAUAUACUCGGAAAAUUGACUAUUUACUCAACAAUCCAAGAACCUAAUGUGUGUAGGAAUUUUUCGAGUAAUUGUUUUGCUGCUGCACUGAAACCGGAUAAGUUUACUGGUGCUUAUUUCAAGCGUUGGCAAACGAGAACCACCUUAUGGCUCACGGCUAUGAACGUGUUCUGGGUAGCCGGUGUCACUUCUACGGGAACGAUCACUCCUGAACAAGAGAAGAUGUUCGCGGAGGCCACCGUCCUAUUCCUUGGAGCAGUUAUAAUUGUGAUCGGAGAUAAGAUGGUUGAUGCAUAUUUACAUAUGCAUGUUGCCAAAGAGCUGUGGAGGCGCUCGAAUCUAAAUUCAGGGCCACUGAUGCUAGGAGCAAGAUGUAUGUUAUGGAGCAAUUCCAUGAUUACAAAAUGGUUGAGAACCGUUCUGUACUGGAACAAGCUCAUGAGAUAAUAUGCAUUGCUAAAGAACUUGAGGUUCUGAAGUGCAAUUUAUCGGGCAAAUUUGUCGCGAGGUGUAUAAUUGCUAAGCUCCCUAAUUCCUGGAGGAACUUUGCUACUACUCUGAAACAUCAGAGGCGUGAAUUCUCAAUAGAGGAUACCAUCGGCCAUCUGAGUGUUGAGCAGAACUCGAGAGCAAAAGACUCACACGGAAAUAUGGUCGAAGGUCCUUCUGCUGCCAACAUGGUACAUCAGAGGAACUUCAAUUCCCACAAGCCCAAGGGGAAGAAUUAUGUCCAACAGAAUACCGACUUUAAGAAGAAGGGUAAGAAGACCUUUAAGAAGAACGAGAAGGGAGAUUGUUGCUUCAAUUGUCGUUCUGAGGAACAUUGGGUCAGUAAGUGCCCAAACAAGUACAAGAAGCUAGUGCAGGACUCCAAGUCUGCCAAUAUGAUUGUGAGCAACAAUGAAAGUGGUGCAUCUGGGUACGGUAAUUUGUUUACCGUAUUUUCGGUUUGUCAACCUACCGAUUGGUGGGUCGACACAGGUGCAAAUAUUCAUGUGUGUGCUGACAUAUCAUUGUUCCCUUCUUAGCAGGUCACAGGCCGAGGGUACGUAUUGAUGGGGAAUGGCGUGAGUGCUUCUGUUCUUGGUAUUGGCACGGUCGAUCUGAAGUUUACUUCGGGAAGGAUCGUGCAGCAUGUCCCCGCCAUCAAGAAGAAUCUCGUUAGCGGCUCCCUUUUGUGUAGAGAAGGGUUUAAGUUGGUCUUCGAGUCUAAUAAAGUAGUUGUUACGAAAUAUGGACUUUUUGUUGGAAAAGGUUUUGAAUGCGGAGGUCUAUUCCGCCUUCCCUUGCAGAUUUUUGUAAUAAAGUCGUGAACAAUAUUCAUUCGAGUGUUAAUGAAUCUAAAGUUUGGCAUUCACGUCUUUGUCACAUAAGUUUCGGUGUUAUGUCGCGGCUAGCAAAACUGAAUUUAAUCCCGAGUUUCACUUUACCCAAAGGUUCUAAGUGCCAUUCGUGUGUGCAAGCAAAGCAACCUCGCAAGCCUCACAAGGCUGCAGAGGAGAGACACUUGGCGCCAUUAGAACUCAUACAUUCUGAUCUUUGUGAGAUGAAUGGUGUGUUGACUAAAGGUGGAAAGAAAUAUUUCAUGGCAUUGAUAGAUGAUUCCACUAGAUAUUGCUAUGUGCAUCUGUUAAAUACUAAAGAUGAGGCUCCACACUACUUUAAAAUCUAUAAGGAAGAAGUUGAGAAUCAACUUGAAAAGAAAAUUAAACGAGUCCGGUCUGAUCGUGGUGGAGAGUACUUCUCAAACGAAUUUGAUUCUUUUUGUGCAGAACACGACAUUAUUUAUGAGAGAAUGCCUCCCUAUUCACCCCAGUCAAACGGGGUUGCCGGGCGGAAAAAAUGUACUCCAACUGAUUUGGUUAACGCCAUGUUAGAUACAUCGGGUUUAUCCAAGGCAUGGUGGGGGGAGGCUAUAUUGACCGCGCGUCCUAUCCUGAAUAAGGUUCCUACAAAAGAUAAUGAAGUCACUCGAUACGAGGAGUGGUCAAAGAGAAGGACGACGCUCUCGUACUUACGUACUUGGGGCUGCUUGGUGAAAGUCAAUGUGUAGAUCCCCAAAAAGUGUAAGCUUGGACCAAAGACCUUGGACUGCGUUAAUUUGGGUUACGCUAAGAAUAGCGUUGGCUAUAGAUUUCUAGUAGUGAAAUCUGAGGUACAUGACGUAAAGGUCGGUACAAUUAUGGAGUCGAUGGAUGCUACAUUCUUUGAGUAUAUUUUUUCCAUGAGAGAUAUGCAAAGCACUUCUAGACAGGAAUUUGAGGAAACUCCUGAGCCUGCCAUUCCUAUGGAAUAUUAUGAACAAAUGCAUGAUGAAAAUCCUGAGGAGGAUGACGAGGAAACCCUUGGUAGGGGCAAGAGACAAAGGACUGCAAAUACCUUUGGUGGUGAUUUCUUCGUAUACCUCGUGGAUGAUAAUCCCACUUCUAUUUCAGAUGCGUAUGCGUCUCUAGAUGCUGAUUACUGGAAAGCUGCGGUCCGUAGCGAGAUGGAUUCCAUCAUGGCUAAUGGGACAUGGGAAAUUACUGAUCGUCCCUAUGGUUGCAAACCAUUGGGAUGCAAGUGGGUGUCCAAAAGGAAGCUUAGGCCCGAUGGUACGAUUGAAAAGUACAAACCUAGGCUUGUGGCCAAGGGCUAUGCCCAGAAAGAAGAAGCAGAUUUCUUUGAUACUUAUUCACCUGUGGCUAGACUGACUACCAUUCGAGUACUACUCUCAUUGGCGGCCUCACAUGGUCUUCUCGUUCAUCAAAUGGACGUUAAGACAACUUUCCUGAACGGAGAGCUAAACGAGGAAAUCUAUAUGAAACAUCCAGAUGGCUUUGUGAUAGAUGGUCAGGAAGGAAAGGUGUGUAAGUUGCUGAAAUAUUUAUAUGGUCUGAGACAAGCACCUAUGCAAUGGCAUGAGAAGUUUAAUACAACUCUGACAUCUGUUAGCUUCGUUGUUAAUGAAGCUAACAAAUGUGUAUACUAUCGCCAUGGUGGGGGCGAAGGAGUUAUAUUGUGCUUGUAUGUUGAUGACAUAUUGAUAUUUGGAACCAACCUCAAAGUGAUUGAGGAGGUUCAGUCUUUUCUGUCUCAAAACUUUGAGAUGAAGGACCUUGGGGUGGCUGAUGUUAUCUUGAACAUCAAGCUUUUGAGAGAUGAUGAGGGUGGGAUUAGACUUCUGGAAUCCCACUAUGUUGAGAAGAUUUUGAGUCGCUUUGGAUAUUCAGACUGCAAAAUUUCUCAAACACCAUAUGAUUCUAGUGUGCUGAUUCGAAAGUUCAAAGGCAGAGCUAUAGAUCAAUUGAGAUUCUCUCAAAUUAUUGGUUCGCUUAUGUAUCUAGCUAGCGCAACGAGGUCUGACAUCGCGUUUGCUGUGAACAAACUUAGCCGGUUUGUUGCCAAUCCGGGCGAUGUUCAUUGGUGUGAUGUUGAAAGAAUCAUGCACUACCUGAAAGGUACUGUCAACCACGGACUUCACUAUAUGGGAUACCCAUCGGUACUUGAAGGGUAUAGUGAUGCGAAUUGGAUCUCUGAUGCUGAUGAGAUGAAGGCCACUACUGGGUAUAUAUUUACUCUUGGAGGUGGUGAUGUUUCCUGGAAGUCUUGAAAGCAAACGAUCUUAACGAGAUCGACAAUGGAAGCAGAAUUAACAGCAUUAGACACAUCUGGUGUCGAAGCAGAAUUUCUUAGAGAUCUUUUGAUGGACUUGCCUGUGGUUGAGAAGUCGGUUCCGGCUAUCCUUAUGAACUGCGAUAAUCAGACAGUUAUUGUCAAAGUGAAGAGUUCAAAGGACAAUACGAAGUCCAACAAACAUAUAAGAAUGAGAUUGAAGUUUGUCAGACGUUUGAGAAACUCCGGAGUGAUAGCGUUGGAUUACAUCCAAACGGCUAAGAAUCUGGCAGAUCCCUUUACUAAAGGGCUAUCACGUGUUGUGAUAGAUAGUGCAUCGAGGGAGAUGGGUAUGAGACCCACAUGAGUUGCCAUGGCAGUAACCCAACCUAUAUGAUCGGAUAUCCCGUGAAGUAGGACCUGGGAAAACAAGCCAGUGGUGAACUGAGGAGAGUAACUUUACUAACCCACUCCAUUGGAGAUGCAAUGCUCUCAGAUAUUGUAUGGUAGGUUCACUACUGUCUUAAUGUGUUCUAAAGCUUGUGUGUAAGCAAGAUGAUGUCCUACAGAGCGAUAUUUGGAGGAACACACCUAUAUGAGCCCGAUUGCUGGUCACAGUCUAUGAGAUUGGGGUGAUCGCUAGUAAACUCAUGAAUAGGCCAGGAGUGUGACUAAUAUGCUCCACCCAAGGGGUCAGCUUUUCGGUAGCCUAGUACUAGUAAGACUUAUGGUGAAGCUUCUUUACGCCAAACUGACAAUUCAAGGCAUAGUUCAUUGUUUAGUUGUAAAGGGGUGUAGCUGCUGUUGGAAAUAUGCCCUAGAGGCAAUAAUAAAAUGGUUAUUAUCAUAUUUCCUUAUUCAUGAUAAUCGUCUAUUGUUCAUGCUAUAAUUGUAUUAACAGGAAACAGUAAUACAUGUGUGAAUAAAUAGAUCACAAUGUGUCCCUAGCAAGCCUCUAGUUGGCUAGCUCGUUAGUCAAUAGAUGAUCAUGGUUUCCUCGUCAUGGGCAUUAGAUGUCAUUGAUAACGGGAUCACACCAUUGGGAGAAUGAUGUGAUGGACAAGACCCAAUCCUGAGUGUAGCACUAGAUCAUAUUGUUCGUAUGCUAAAGCUUUUCUAAUGUCAAGUGUCUUUUCCUUCGACCGUGAGAUUGUGCAACUCCCGGAUACCGUAGGAGUGCUUUGGGUGUAUCAAACGUCACAACGUAACUGGGUGACUAUAAAGGUGCACUACGGGUACCUCUGAAAGUGUCUGUUGGGUUGGUACGAAUCAAGAUCGGGAUUUGUCACUCCGUGUGACGGAGAGGUAUCUCUGGGACCACUCGGUAGAACAUCAUCAUGAGCUCAAUGUGACUAAAGGAGUUAGUCACACGAUGACGUGCUACGGAAUGAGUAAAGAGACUUACUGGUAACGAGAUUGAACAAGGUAUAUGUAUACCGACGAUCGAAUCUCGGGCAAGUUCUAUACCGACAAACAAAGGGAAUUGUAUACGGGAUUGACUGAAUCCUUGACAUCGUGGUUCAUCCGAUGAGAUCAUCGUGGAGCAAGUGGGAGCCACCAUGGGUAUCCAGACCCCGCUGAUGGUUAUUGGCCGGAGAGGUGUCUCGGUCAUGUCUACCUGUCUUCCGAACCCGUAGGGUCUACACACUUAAGGUUCGAUGACGCUAGGGUUAUAGGGAAUUGUUAUACGAGGUUAUCGAAAGUUGUUCGGAGUCCCGGAUGAGAUCCCAGACGUCACGAGGAGCUCCAGAAUGGUCCGGAGGUAAAGAUUGAUAUAUAGGACGGAUGGUUUCGGACACCUGAAGUGUUUCGGGCGUCACAUGUAACGUACCGGGACCACCGGGACCACUGGAGGUGGCCCCGGGGGUCCACCGAAAGGGGGCAACGACCCCGGGAGGCUAGAUGGGCCAAGUGCGGGAGGGAACCAGCCCCUAGGUCGGCUGGUGCGCCCCUCACUCAGCCCAUGGCGCAAGAAGAAGGGAGAGGGGGGGAACCCUAGCGCAGGUGGGCCUAAGGCCCACUAGAAGGGUGCGCCACCCCUUCUUCCCCCCUUGGCCACCGCACCUUUCCCCAUCUAGGGCUGCCGCCCCUCCCAGGAGAGGGAAAUACUCAAGGGGGCGCAGCCCCUCCCUCCCCCUAUAUAUAGUGGGCACUUUUGGGCUUUUGGAGACACAGUUUUCCCUCUCCCUCGGCGCAGCCCUGCUCUUCUUUCUCCUCCUGUGUGCCGGUGCUUGGUGAAGCCCUGCCGGGAGACCUCGUCUCUCCAUCUACACCACGUCGUCGUGCUGCUGGAGAUAUUCCCCAACCUCUCCCUCCUCCUUGCUGGAUCAAGGUGCGGGAGACGUCACCGGGCUGCACGUGUGUUGAACGCGGAGGUGUCGUAGUUCGGCGCUAGAUCGGAAUCACACCGCGAUCUGAAUCGCCACGAGUACGACUCCAUCAACCGCGUUCUAGUAACGCUUCCACUUAGCGAUCUUCAAAGGUAUGAAGAUGCACUCACCCCUCUCUCGUUGCUGGUCUCUCCAUAGGAAUAUCUGAAUAUGCGUAGGAAAAUUUUAAAUUUAUGCUACGUUACCCAACAGUGGCAUCCGAGCCAGGUUUUCUAUGCAUAGAUUCUAUGCACGAGUAGAACACAAAAGGUUGUGGGCGAUGAUUUUUCAAUUGCUUGCCGCUACUAGUCUUAUUAUUUUCUAGCGGUAUUGUGGGAUGAAGCGGCCCGGACCGACAUUACACGUACGCUUACGUGAGACUGGUUCCACCGACAGACAUGCACACCGUGCAUAAAGGUGGCUAGCGGGUGUCUGUCUCUCCUACUCUAGUCGGAUUGGAUUUGAUGAAAAGGGUCCUUAUGAAUGGUAAAUAUCUUUGGCAUAUCAUCGUUGUGGCUUUCACGUAGGUAAGAAAGCGUUCUUGCUAGAAACCCAAAUCAGCCACGUAAAAAUUGCAACAACAAUUAGAGGACGUCUAACUUGUUUUUGCAGGGUUUGACAUGUGAUGUGAUAUGGCCAAAGUUGUGAUGUUGCAUGUAUGAUGUAUGAGAUGAUCAUGUUAUUGUAAUAGGUUUCACGACUUGCAUGUCGAUGAGUAUGACAACCGGCAGGAGCCAUAGGAGUUGUCUUAAUUUAUUGUAUGAGAUGCAACGCCAUGUGCUUACUACUUUUACUUCAUUGCUAACGGUUAGCUAUAGUAGUAGUGAUAGUAGUAGUUGGCGUGACGACUUCACGGAGACACGAUGAUGGAGAUCAUGAUGAUGGAGAUCAUGGUGUCACGCCGGUGACGAUGAUGAUCAUGCGAUGCCUAAAUAUGGAGAUCGAAAGAGCAAAGAUGAUAAUGUCCAUAUCAUGUCACUAUAUGAUUGCAUUGUGAUGUUUAUCAUGUUUUUUAUCUUAUUACUUAGAACGACGGUAGCAUAAUAAGAUGAUCCCUCUUAAAAUUUCGAGAAAGUAUUCCCCUAAGUGUGCACCGUUGCGAAGGAUCGUUGUCUCGAAGCACCACGUGAUGAUCGGGUGUGAUAGAUUCUAACGUUCGCAUACAACGGGUGUAAGCCAAAUUUACACACGUGAAACACCUAGGUUGACUCGACGAGCUUAGCAUGUACAGACAUGACCUUGAAUACAAGAGACCGAAAGGUCGAACAUGAGUCGUAUGGUUGAAUACGAUCAGCAUGAAGUUGCUCACCAUGGUGACUAGUCCGUCUCACGUGAUGAUCGGACACGGGUUAGUCAACAUGGAUCAUGUAUGACUUAGAUGACUAGAGGGAUGUCGAUUUAAGUGGGAGUUCAUACUUAAUUUGAUUAAAUGAACUUAAUUGUCAUGAACUUAGUCUAAAAGUUGUCUUUAUAAAUAUUGUAGAUGGCCAACGUCAACCUCAAUUUCAACGCAUUCCUAGAGAAAAACAAGCUGAAAGAUGAUGGUAGCAACUAUGCGGACUGGGUUCUCAACUUGAAGCUCAUCCUUGAAGCAACUAAAAAGGCUUAUGUCCUUGAUGCGCCGCUAGGUGGCCCUCCCGCUCCCGCAGCAGCCCAGGACAUUCUGAACGUCUGGCAAACACGGAGUGAUGACUACUCUCUGGUUAGGUGUGACAUGCUAUACAGUUUAGAAACGGGGCUCCAAAGGCGUUUUGAGCAACACGGUGCAUAUGAGAUGUUCCAAGAGCUGAAGCUAGUUUUUCAAGCUCAUGCCCAUGUCGAGAGAUAUGAAGUCUCCGACAAGUUCUUUAGCUGUAAGAUGGAGGAGAACAGUUCUGUCAGUGAGCACAUACUCAAAAUGUCUGGGUUACACGGUCGUCUGACUUCACUUGGAGUCGAACUUCCGGAUGAUGCUAUAAUUGACAGAAUCCUCCAGUCUCUCCCACCAAGCUACAAAGGCUUUGUGCUUAACUACAACAUGCAAGGGAUGGAGAAGACCAUUCCCGAGUUGUACUCAAUGCUCAAGUCUGCAGAAGUAGAAAUCAAGAAAGAGCAUCAAGUGUUGAUGGUCAACAAGACCACUAGUUUCAAGAAGGGCAAGGGUAAGAAGAACUUCAAGAAAGACGACAAAGCCGUUGCCACGCCCGGUAAGCCAGAUGCCGAGAAGAAGAAAAAGAAUGGACCCAAGCCUGAGACUGAGUGCUUCUAUUGCAAGGGAAGGGUCACUCGAAGCGAAACUGCCCCAAAUACUUAGCGGACAAGAAGGUCGGCAAUGUUAAAGGUAUAUGUGAUAUACAUGUUAUUGAUGUGUACCUUACCAGCGCUUGUAGUAGCUCCUGGGUAUUUGAUACCGGUGUUGUUGCUCACAUUUGCAACUCAAAGCAGGAACUGCGGAAUAAGCGGAGACUGGCCAAGGACGAGGUGACGAUGUGCGUCGGGAAUGGCUCCAAGGUCGAUGUGAUCGCCGUCGGCACGCUACCUCUACAUCUACCAUCGGGAUUAGUUUUAAGCCUUAAUAAUUGUUAUUUAGUACCAGCUUUAAGCAUGAACAUUGUAUCAGGGUCUUGCUUAAUGCGAGACGGCUACUCAUUUAAGUCAGAGAAUAAUGGUUGUUCUAUUUAUAUGAGUGAUAUGUUUUAUGGUCAUGCUCCGCUGGUGAAUGGUUUAUUCUUGAUGAAUCUCGAUCGUGAUGUUACGCAUAUUCAUAGUGUGAGUACCAAAAGAUGUAAAGUUGAUAAUGAUAGUCCCACAUACUUGUGGCACUGCCGCCUUGGUCAUAUCGGCGUUAAGCGCAUGAAGAAGUUCCAUACUGAUGGACUAUUAGAGUCUCUUGACUUUGAAUCAUUUGACACAUGCGAACCGUGCCUCAUGGGCAAGAUGACUAAGACUCCAUUCUCAGGAAUAAUGGAGAGAGCAACCGACUUAUUGGAAAUAAUACAUAUUGAUGUGUGUGGUCCAAUGAACGUUGAAGCUCGCGGUGGCUAUCGUUAUGUUCUCACUCUCAUCGAUGAUUUGAGUAGGUAUGGGUAUAUCUACUUGAUGAAGCACAAAUCUGAGACAUUUGAAAAAUUCAAGGAAUUUCAGAGUGAGGUCGAGAAUCAACGUGACAGAAAAAUUAAGUGUCUACGAUCUGAUCGUGGAGGAGAAUAUUUGAGUCACGAGUUUGGCACACACCUAAGGAAGUGUGGAAUCGUUUCACAACUGACGCCGCCUGGCACACCGCAACGCAACGGAGUGUCUGAACGUCGUAAUCGCACUUUAUUAGAUAUGGUACGAUCUAUGAUGUCUCUUACCGACUUACCGCUAUCAUUUUGGGAAUACGCAUUAGAAACUGGAGCAUUCACUUUAAAUAGGGCACCGUCUAAAUCCGUUGAGACGACACCGUAUGGACUAUGGUUUGGCAAGAAACCUAAGUUGUCGUUUCUUAAAGUUUGGGGCUGCGAUGCUUAUGUGAAGAAACUUCAACCAGAAAAGCUCGAACCCGAAGCGGAGAAAUGCGUAUUCAUAGGAUACCCUAAGGAAACUAUUGGGUAUACCUUCUACCUUAGAUCCGAAGGUAAAACCUUUGUUGCCAAGAACGGAUCCUUUCUAGAGAAAGAGUUCUCUCGAAAGAAGUAAGUGGGAGGAAGGUAGAACUUGAUGAGGUAAUUACACCCCCUCUCGAACAGGAUAGUAGCGCAGCGCGGGAAGUUGUUCCUGUGGCGCCUACACCAACUGAAGAGGAAGUUAAUGAUAAUGAUCAUGAAGCUUCGGAUCAAGUUACUACUGAACCUCGAAGGUCCACAAGGGUACGCUCCGCACCAGAGUGGUACGGCAACCCUGUAAUGGAAAUUAUGUUGUUAGACAACGGUGAACCUUCGAACUAUGAAGAAGCGAUGGCGGGCCCAGAUUCCAACAAAUGGCUUGAAGCCAUGAAAUCCGAGAUAGGAUCCAUGUAUGAGAAGAAAGUAUGGACUUUGGUGGACUUGCCCGAUGACCGGCGAGCCAUAGAAAAUAAAUGGAUCUUCAAGAAGAAGACUGAUGCAAACGGUAAUGUAACCGUUUAUAAAGCUCGACUUGUCGCAAAGGGUUUUCGACAAAUUCAAGGAAUUGACUACGAAGAGACUUUCUCUCCCGUAGCGAAGCUGAAAUCAGUCCGAAUCAUGUUAGCAAUUGCCGCCUUUUACGAUUAUGAAAUUUGGCAAAUGGACAUCAAAACAGCGUUCCUUAAUGUGAACCUAAAGGAAGAGUUGUAUAUGAUGCAACCAUAAGGUUUUGUCGACCCUAAGGGUGCUAACAAAGUGUGCAAGCUCCAGCGCUCCAUCUAUGGGCUGGUGCAAACAUCUCAAAGUUGGAACAUUCGGUUUGAUGAGGUGAUUAAAGCGUUGGGUUUCAUACAGGUUUAUGGAGAAGCCUGUCUGUACAAGAAAGUGAGUGGGAGCUCUGUAGCUUUCCUCAUACUGUAUGUGGAUGACAUAUUAUUCAUGGGCAAUGAUAUAGAGAUGUUGGAGAGCAUAAAGGCCUAUUUGAAUAAGAGUUUUUCAAUGAAGGACCUUGGAGAAGCUGCAUACAUAUUAGGCAUCAAGAUCUAUAGAGAUAGAUCGAGACGCCUCAUAGGUCUUUCGCAAAGUACAUACCUUGACAAGAUAUUGAAGAAGUUCAAUAUGGAAAACUGAAAGAAAGGGUUCUUGCCAGUUUUGCAAGGUAUGAGAUUGAGUAAGACUGAGUCGCCGACCACGACAGCAGAUAGAGAGAAGAUGAGUUAUGUCCCCUACACUUCAGCCGUAGGCUCUCUUAUGUAUGCCAUGCUGUGUACCACACCUGAUAUAAACCUUGCCACAAGUUUGGUAGGGAGGUACCAAAGUGAUCCCGGUAUGGAACACUGGACAGCGGUCAAGAAUAUCCUUAAGUACCUGAAAAGGACUAAGGAAAUGUUUCUCGCUUAUGGAGGUGACGAAGAGCUCGUCGUAAAGAGUUACGUCCACGCUAGCUUCGACACAGAUCCGGAUGACUCUAAGUCACAGACCGGAUACGUAUAUGUUUUGAAUGGUGGGGCAGUGAGCUGGUGCCGCAGCAAGCAAGAAGUCGUGGCAGCAUCUACAUGUGAAGCGGAGUACAUAGCUGCUUCAGAAGCGGCUCAUGAAGGAAUUUGGAUGAAGGAGCUCAUCACCGACCUUGGAGUGGUUCCAAGCACGUCGGGUAAAAUGACACUCUUCCGUGAUAACACUGGGGCCAUUGCCAUAGCCAAGGAGCCCGGGUUUCACUGGAAGACGAAGCACAUCAAACGCCGCUACAACUCCAUCCAGGACCAUGUCCAGAGUGGAGUAAUAGAGAUUUGUAAAGUACACACGGAUCUGAAUGUCGCUGACCCGUUGACUAAACCUCUUCCACGAGCAAAACAUGAUCAACACCACAAUGCUAUGGGUGUUCGAUACAUCACAAUGUAACUAGAUUAUUGACUCUAGUGCAAGUGGGAGACUGUUGGAAAUAUGCCCUAGAGGCAAUAAUAAAAUGGUUAUUAUCAUAUUUCCUUGUUCAUGAUAAUCGUUUAUUGUUCAUGCUAUAAUUGUAUUAGCAGGAAACAAUAAUACAUGUGUGAAUAAAUAGAUCACAAUGUGUCCCUAGCAAGCCUCUAGUUGGCUAGCUCGUUAGUCAAUAGAUGAUCAUGGUUUCCUGGUCAUGGGCAUUAGAUGUCAUUGAUAAUGGGAUCACAUCAUUGGGAGAAUGAUGUGAUGGACAAGACCCAAUCCUGAGCGUAGCACUAGAUCGUAUUGUUCAUAUGCUAAAGCUUUUCUAAUGUCAAGUGUAUUUUCCUUCAGCCGUGAGAUUGUGCAACUCCCAGAUACCGUAGGAGUGCUUUGGGUGUAUCAAACGUCACAACGUAACUGGGUGACUAUAAAGGUGCACUACGGGUACCUCUGAAAGUGUCUGUUGGGUUGGUACGAAUCAAGAUCGGGAUUUGUCACUCCGUGUGACGGAGAGGUAUCUCUAGGACCACUCGGUAGAACAUCAUCAUGAGCUCAAUGUGACUAAAGGAGUUAGUCACACGAUGACGUGCUACGAAACGAGUAAAGAGACUUACCGGUAACGAGAUUGAACAAGGUAUAGGUAUACCGACGAUCGAAUCUCGGGCAAGUUCUAUACCGACAGACAAAAGGGAAUUGUAUACGGGAUUGAUUGAAUCCUUGACAUCGUGGUUCAUCCGAUGAGAUCAUCAUGGAGCAAGUGGGAGCCACCAUGGGUAUCCAGACCCCGCUGAUGGUUAUUGGCUGGAGAGGUGUCUCGGUCAUGUCUACAUGUCUUCCGAACCCGUAGGGUCUACACACUUAAGGUUCGAUGACGCUAGGGUUAUAGGGAAUUGUUAUACGAGGUUAUCGAAAGUUGUUCGGAGUCCCGGUUGAGAUCCCGGACGUCACGAUGAGCUCCGGAAUGUUCCGGAGGUAAAGAUUGAUAUAUAGGACGGAUGGUUUCGGACACCGGAAGUGUUUCGGGCGUCAACGGUAACGUACCGGGACCACCGGAGGUCGCCCCGGGGGUCCACCGGAAGGGGGCAACGACCCCGGGAGGCUAGAUGGGCCAAGUGCGGGAGGGAACCAGCCCCUAGGUGGGCUGGUGCGCCCCCACCCCCACUCAGCCCAUGGCGUAAGAAGAAGGGAGGGGGGAACCCUAGCGCAGGUGGGCCUAAGGCCCACCAGAAGGGUGCGCCACCCCUCCUUCCCCCCUUGGCCGCCACACCUUUCCCCAUCUAGGGCUGCUGCCCCUCCCAGGAGAGGGAAACCCUCAAGGGGGCGCAGCCCCUCCCUCCCCCUAUAUAUAGUGGGCACUUUUGGGCUUUUGGAGACACAGUUUUCCCUCUCCCUCGGCGCAGCCCUGCUCUUCUUUCUCCUCCUCUCUGCUGGUGCUUGGCGAAGCCCUGUCGGGAGACCUCGUCUCUCCAUCGACACCACGCCGUCGUGCUGUUGGAGAUCUUCCCCAACCUCUCCCUCACCUUGCUGGAUCAAGGUGCGGGAGACGUCACCGGGCUGCACGUGUGUUGAAUGCGGAGGUGCCUUAGUUCGGCGCUAGUUCGGAAUCACACCGCGAUCUGAAUCGCCGCGAGUAUGACUCCAUCAACCGCGUUCUAGUAACUCUUCCGCUUAGCGGUCUUCAAAGGUAUGAAGAUGCACUCACCCCUCUCUCGUUGCUGGUCUCUCCAUAGGAAGAUCUGAAUAUGCGUAGGAAAUUUUUGAAUUUAUGCUACGUUACCCAACAACUACUUGUUCUAGGUGAAGCUUGCUACGGCAACAAAAGUCCUUCCCUGGCACUUAGGAAUUCUUCUUGUUACUUCUAUGGUUUGCGUCGGUUUUUCCCUUGAAGAGGAAAGGGUGAUGCAACACAGGAGCAGUAAGUAUUUCCCUCAGUUUGAGAACCAAGGUAUCGAUCCAGAAGGAGGGCCUCGUCAAGUCCAAAGUACCUGCGCAAACACAAACAAGCUUGCACCCAACGCUUCAAAGGGGUUGUCAAUCCCUUCAAGAUUGUUUGCAAAGUGAGAUCUGAAGGCGGAAAGUGCAACGAAGUAAAAAGUGUAAGGCUGAAAAUAUGGUGUGGAGUAGACCCUGGGGGCCAUAGUGUUCACUAGAGGCUUCUAUCAUAAUAGCAAAUAUCACGGUGGGUGAACAAAUUACUGUCGAGCAAUUGAUAGAACCGCGCAAAUCAUGACGAUAUCUAAGGCAAUGAUCAUACAUAUAGGCAUCACGUCCGAGAUAAGUAGACCGAUACUUUCUGCAUCUACUACUAUUACUCCACACAUCGACCGCUAUCCAGCAUGCAUCUAGUGUAUUGAGUUCAUGACGACCACAAUCAUGAACUUUCAAAAUAACAAGGCCAAAGAUAGUUAUCCCUACAAAAUCAUAUAGUUUGUCUAUGCUCCAUCAUCCUCACACAACUAAUGUAAAUCAUGCACAACCCCAGAAUUGGCCAAGUAAUUGUUUUCGCACUCUUACUUUCUCGAACCUUUUAUAACUAUCACGCAAUACAUGAGCGCGAGCCAUGGAUAUAGCACUAUAGGUGGAAUAGAGUGUGGUGGUGGUUGUGAGACAAAAAAGGAGGAGAUGGUCACACUGACUCGGCGUAUCAAUAGGCUAUGAAGAUGCCCAUUAAUAGAUAUCAAUGUGAAUGAGUAGGGAUUGUCAUACAAGAGAUGCACUAGAGCUAUAAGUAUGGGAAAGCUCAAGAGGAAAACUAGUGGGUGUGCAUCCAACUUGCUUGCUCACGAAGACCUAGGGCAAUUUUGAGGAAGCCCAUCAAUUGAAUAUACAAGCCAAGUUAUAAAACGAAGAUUCCCACUAGCAUAUGGUAGUGACAAAGCAAGAAGCUCUCAAUCAUGAAGAACAUGGUGCUAUCAUGAAGUACAAGUGUGGAAAAAGAUAGUAGCAUUGUCCCUUCUCUCUUUUUCUCUUUUUUUUAUUUGGGCUCUUAGGCCUCUUUUUUCUUUUCUUUUCUCUUUUUUUGUUUUUGGGCUCUUUGGCCUUUUUUUUAUUUCCUCACAUGGGACAAUGCUCUAAUAAUGAUGAUCAUCACACUUUUAUUUACUCGCAACUCAAAGAUCGCAAUGAUGAUGACUCCAUAGGAAAUGCCUCCGGCAGUGUACGGGGAUGUGCAACGAUCUAGCAUGGCGUAUGACGUUGAAACAUCUCGCUGGCUAUCUUACGAUCAUGCAAUGGCAAUAUGAGAGUGACGGCACAAGUCAUGAGACGGAACGGUGGGAGUUGCAUGGCAAUAUAUCUUGGAAUGGCUAUGAAAAUGCCAUAGUAGGUAGGUAUGGUGGCUGUUUUGAGGAAGGAAUUUGGUGGGUUUGUGCACCGGCGAGAAUUGCGCGGCACUAGAGAGGCUAGCAAUGGUGGAAGGUGAAAGUGCAUCUAUACGAUGGACUCACAUUAGUCAUGAAGAAAUCACAUACUUAUUGCGAAAGUUUUUAUUAGUAAUAGAAACAAAGUGCUAAACGCAUACUCCGAGGGGAAGGGUUGGUAGGUGUAAACCAUCGCGCGAUCCCGACCUCAACACAAAGGAUAGAAAUCAAUAGAUCAAUGAUGCUCCGACUUCCUAACAUAGCGGUUCACCAUACGUGCAUGCUACGGGAAUCACUAACUUCAACACAGGUAUUUCUAGAUUCACAACACCCUACUUACAUAACUCUUAAUAUUACCAAAUCCACGUCUCAAAACUAAUUGAGAGGAAUCAAAACUUCUCUUUCUACUCAAUGCACAUGAAGAUGGAGGUUUUUGCAUCCUCUUUGGGCACCUAUCACAUUUGGGACUACUUUCAUAGCAUAAGCCAACUACCAAAUCACGCACCGCCGUGCUCUAAAGAUAUAAGUGAAGCACAAGAGCAAACAUAUCUAGCUCAAAAGAUAUAAGUGAAGCACUAUGAGCAUUCUAGCAAAAUCACGAUGAGUGCAUGUCUCUCUCUCUCAAAAAGGUGUGCAGCAAGGAUGAUUGUGACACAACAAAAAGAAAAGACUCCUAAGAUACAAGACGCUCCAAGCAAAACACAUAUCAUGUGGUGAAUAAAAAUAUAGCUCCAAGUAAUGUUACCGAUGGAUUGAAGACGAAAGAGGGGAUGCCUUCCCGGGGCAUCCCCAAGCUUAGGCUUUUUGUUGUCCUUGAAUUUGGCUUGGGAUGCCUUGGGCAUCCCCAAGCUUGAGCUCUUUCCACUCCUUAUCUCUUUGUCCAUGAGAACAUCACCCAAAACUUGAAAACUUCACAACACAAAACUUAAACAGAAACUUGUGAUAACAUUAGUACAAGAAAACAAACUACCACUUCUUUUGGUACUAUAGCAAACUUGAAUUCCAUCUAUAUUGAUGAUGGGCUACUGUACUCUCACUUUUCCAUGGCUAGUACCCCCCGAUACUAACCAUAGUUUCAUCAAAACAAGCAACCAACUCAACAAAAACAGACCAGUCUGUAGCAAUCUGUAUACUUCGUAUACUUCUGGUAUCUCACAAAACCUGGAAAUUACGACGGUCUGGGGAAAAAGCAUAUGAAUCAGCAGCAAAAAGAAUCAACUCAAAAUCUCUUUCUGAAUAAAAAUGAAAAAUCAUAUCGUGAGGGAAAAGUUUCUGUCUUUUUCCAGCAGGAUCAAACAACCAUUACCAAGACUAAUCAUAAAGGUUUUGCUUGGCUCAAACACAAAAAGAAACACAAAAAACACAAUCAAAACAGAAUUAUGAAAGUGUGGACGCAACAAAACAGAAAGAAAAAUAUAAAUUCAUUGGGUUGCCUCUCAACAAGCGCUAUUGUUUAACGCCCUUAGCUAGGCAUUGAUAAAUCGAUGAUGCUCACACAAAAGACAAGAAUUGAAGCACAACGAGAGCAUCAUAAAGCAUGUGAAAAUCACAUCUAAGUCUAACAUACUUCCUAUGCAUAGGCAUUUUAUAGGAAAACAAGUUGUCAAGACAACCAAUAGUUGCCAUAUGCAAGGAAGAAGAAAGAGACAAUAGCAAUCUCCACAUAACGAGAGGUAAAUUGGUAACAUGAAAGUUUCUACCACAAUAUUUUCCUCUCUCAUAGCAAUUACAUGUGGGAUCAUAAUCAAAUUCAACAAUGUAACUAUCACAUAGGAUAUUCUUUUCAUGAUCCACAUGCAUGCAAGUUGACGCUCUUUAAAAAUAGUGGGAUUAUCAUCAACUAAAGUCAUGACUUCUCCAAACCCACUUUCAAUAAUAUUGCAAAUAUCAUAUUCAUCAUGAGGCUUAAACAAAUUUUCAAGAUCAUAAGAAAAAUCAUCGCCCCACUCAUAAUCAUUGCAACAAGUAGUGGACAUAGCAAAACUAGCAUCCCCAAGCUUAGGGUUUUGCAUAUUUUUAGCAUGAUUGUCACUAAUAGAAUUUAUGGUGAAACCAUUGCAAUCAUGAUUUUCAUCCAAGGAGCCCUCGUGAAUCACUUCAUAAAUUUCUUCCUCACAAUUUUCAGAUUCACGCAUCUCAAGCAAAACUUCAUAAAGAUAGUCAAGUGCACUCAACUCACUAGCAAUUGGAUCAACAUAAUUGGAUCUCUUAAAGAGAUUAGCAAGUGGAUGAGGAUCCAUAUCACUAGAUUUUAAGCAAACGAAGAUGCAAGCAUAUUGAAUGCACAUGGCACACAAAUGAACAGAAAGCAAGCGAGAGAAAAGGGUGAACGAAAAAGACAAAUGAAAAAAUGCAAACGAAAAAGGCAAAUUGUGAAGUGGGGGAGAGGAAAACGAGAGGCAACUCGCAAACAAAGUAAAUGCAAGAGAUGAGUUUGCGACACCUACUUGGAUGAGUUCUUGACUUGAUCUUCCUCCCCGGCAACGGCGCCAAAAAUUCUUCUGCUACGGCAACAAAAGUCCUUCCCUGGCGUUUAGGAAUUCUUCUUGUUACUUCUCUGGUUUGCGUCGGUUUUUCCCUUGAAGAGGAAAGGGUGAUGCAGCACAGGAGCAGUAAGUAUUUCCCUCAGUUUGAGAACCAAGGUAUCGAUCCAGAAGGAGGGCCUCGUCAAGUCCAAAGUACCUGCGCAAACACAAACAAGCUUGCACCCAACGCUUCAAAGGGGUUGUCAAUCCCUUCAAGAUUGUUUGCAAAGUGAGAUCUGAAGGCGGAAAGUGCAACGAAGUAAAAAGUGUAAGGCUGAAAAUAUGGUGUGCAGUAGACCCUGGGGGCCAUAGUGUUCACUAGAGGCUUCUAUCAUAAUAGCAAAUAUCACGGUGGAUGAACAAAUUACUGUCGAGCAAUUGAUAGAACCGCGCAAAGUCAUGACGAUAUCUAAGGCAAUGAUCAUGCAUAUAGGCAUCACGUCCGAGACAAGUAGACCGAUACUUUCUGCAUCUACUACUAUUAGUCCACACAUCGACCGCUAUCCAGCAUGCAUCUAGUGUAUUGAGUUCAUGACGAACAGAGUAACGCUUUAAGCAAGAUGACAUGAUGUAGAGGGAUAAUCUCAAACCAAUGAUGAAAACCCCAUCUUUUUACCCUUGAUGGCAACAACACGAUGCGUGCCUCGCUACCCCUUAUGUCACUGGGUGAGGUCACCGCACGGUAUGAAGCCAAAACCAAGCACUUCUCCCAUUGCAAGAAUCAUAGAUCUGGUUUGCCAAACAAAACCCACAACUCGAAGAGAAUUACAAGGAUAUGAAAUCAUGCAUAAGAGAGAUCAGAAGAAACUCAAAUAAGAUUCAUAGAUAAUCUGAUCAUAAAUCCACAAUUCAUCGGAUCUCGACAAACACACCGCAAAAGAAGAUUACAUUGGAUAGAUCUCCAUGAAGAUCAUGGAGAACUUUGUAUUGAAGAUCCAAGAGAGAGAAGAAGCCAUCUAGUUACUAGUUAUGGACCCGUAGGUCUAUGGUGAACUACUCACGCAUCAUCGGAGAGGUCAUGGUGUUGAUGAAGAAGCCCUCCGUGUUCGAAUCCCCCCUCCGGCAGGGCACCAGAAUGUGCCCCAGAUGGGAUCUUGCGGAGACAGAAGCUUGCGGCGGCGGAAAAGUACUUUCGAUGAUCUCUUGAUUUUUUCUGGAAUUUAUGGGAUUAUAUAGGCGAAAGAUCUAGGUCAGGGGACCUCCAGGGGGCCCACAAGCUUGGAUGGCGCACCCCCCUGGCCGCGGGGUGGGAGCUUGUGGGGCCCCUGGAGCUCCUCUAGCAUGGCUCCAAGUUCUCCGAUCUUCUUCCGUUCCAAAAAAAAUCUUUUCGGGGAUUUUCUUCCGUUUGGACUCCGUUUCAAAAUCUCCUCUGAAAGGGGUCAAAAACAUGGAAAAAAACAGGAACUGGCACUUGGCACUGAGUUAAUAAGUUAGUCCCAGAAAAUAUAUAAAAGGCAUGCAAAACAUCCAAAGUUUGACAAGAUAAUAGCAUGAAACCAUCAAAAAUUAUAGAUACGUUGGAGAUGUAUCAAAGCUCAACCUUAACAGGUCUUUACUGAACUGCUGGUAUGUCAAAACAGUGAUUGAAACGAAGGAACACAAUGUGCCAUUGAGAUCUGGUGGGGGAUUGUUGAAAUCUGUGAUGGGCCUUAGGCCCAUAAGAGAAUUUCGGAAACCUCCAAGGGCCCAUGUAGGCGGUGGCAUGACAAGGUGGUGGUGGGAAGUUUAGUCCCACCCCGCUAGUGGAGAAGAAGUUGGACCCCUUUACAACGGUCUCUCUUCUACAUGCUAUUGAAGAGUGAGAAGAUAAGAGGCCCUCGCGCACUCCUCCUCCGCCGCCCGCCUCGCCACGACGCGCCGCGGGAAUGAGCCAAGCCGAGCUCAUACCUACGCGCUUAUUUUUGCCGGUCAAGAACGAAGAAUACGCAACGAAUGCACCACGAUCUGAGACGUCAGAUCGUGGGUUGUUACCGACUCGGACGGGGGUUCAGCCCACGUCUCUCCAUCCGGCCGCCUAUAUAAGCAGGGCUAACGUCAACCCUAGCCGUCACAAGAUCAUAUCGCCUCUGCCUCACGCGCUCGUUACUUUUGCUGCUACUGCCGUCGGCGACUCCGUCCCGUUCACCGCGUACACAGUCGACGGGAGAGCAGGCCUCCAAAACCCCGCCUCUCCGGAUACUGUACGAGAGAGGGGCGAUUAGGUUUUCGGGCAGCGAUCACGCGACUGCUCGACUCCGUCCGUUUGUUUCGUCUACGUCCGCGUCUCCCUUGUCACUGCCAUGUCUUCGCCAAGAGAAGCUGGCUGUCUCCUCCUCGAGAAGGCCGAAGGCCAUGUCUUCGCCAAGCGAAGCUGGCCGUCUCCUCCUCGAGAAGGCCGAAGGCCAUGUCUUCGCCAAGCAAAGCUGGCCGUCUCCUCCUCGAGAAGGCCGAAGCGGAGAAGAAGGCGGCAGAGGAUGCCGUCGCCGCCAAUGCUGCUGUUACGGCCAAGUGGCCAAUCGGAGGGUAUAACCUAUUUAUCCCGCUCAUGUUUAUUUUUGCCCUAAUGGUACUAGCUAUAUGGGUAGAUGUUUCUGCUAUAUGCAUAGUAAUUGCUAGUAUCCUCUGUGAUUUGUAUGUCAUGAAUCUAGUCAAUGUCAUGUUAGUAAUUAUUUCAUGGAUUAAUCUACUCGGAAAAUUGACUAUUUAGUCAACAGUAUCUAGACCAUCAGAUCGAAGAAGAAUGGACAAGACGACCUAGGCACUGUAGAGUUUUGUUGUAGAUUUCAAAAAUACUAUGAUGUUUUUUUUAAUCAAACAAUCCUAUGCGUUCAUUUGGUGAAUUGAUGAAUGAGAUCCAUCCAAUGGUAGAAUGGGAUUUUUUCACGAUUUUGACCCAUGGGAUGAAAGUAUUGCACGGAAUGAACUCUGAUUGAAAACAUUUCACGAUCUGAUUUUUUUUAAACGCCAGAGCCCGUGGCGUUGCAGACGCACAUAGAAACGCCAAUGUAAUGUGGCGUUGCAGACCCACUCAAACGCCAGUCUAAUGUGGCGUUGCAGACCCACUCAAACGCCAGUCUAUGUGACGUUGCAAGCCACGCGUGAAACGCCAUGGUCCAUGGUGUUUCAUCAGUACACAUGUUGCUAGCAGCAUGCCGUGGGCUGGCUGGAUGUCGUCGCUGCGUUCCAUAGUGGGUCUGCAACGCCAGCACUGUUGGCGUUUCACAAUGGGCCUGCAACGCCACAUUAGACUGGCGUUGCAAGAAAGAAAUAACGCCACGGUAGACAGGCGUGUCACUGUUGGGCAGCAACACCAGCACUGUUGGCGUUUCACAGUGGGCCUGCAACGCCACUUUAGACUGGCGUUGCAAAAAAGAAAAAACGCCACAGUAGACAGGCGUGUCACUGGAGGGCAGCAACGCCAUGGUAGACAGGCGUUGCAUAGUGGGCAGCAACGCCACGGCUUGUGGCGUUUCUAAAAAGGUCAGAUCGUGAAAUGCUUUCAAAUCUGGUUCAUUUUGUGCUCAUGUUUAGAAAAAAGGUAAAAACAGUGAAAAAAUCCGGUAGAAUGCUCUAGGUCUGUACCAUCUUUUCUUCUGAACAAUCAUUUUUGUUAACACUAACCAUCUCUUCGAUCAACGUUGAAUAGAUCAUUGGUGCGGAUUCUCCACCAUGUGUUCUGGAUAAUCGAAUUUAAGUUUACAGAUUCAUGACGUGGCAGCUGCGACCUGUGAGCCUUUCGACAAAGAAAGUUCCACUUCACUACUGGGCAUGCCAUUGACAACAGGGCAUCACUGAGUUGUCUAAAGCUGAAUGUGCUCUCCCAACCCAGCCCACCCUGGUGCUCGUGUUAAUCUUUUCUAAAUCAAAAUGAUGCCGUUGUUGCUUAGGUUGGUUUUGUAGUUCCCGAGGACUUGAGCUGCACAUGUACUCCCUCUGUUCCUUUUUCUUUUUUGAGACUUCACUAAGUAACUAAUUCCUCCGUUCUUAAAUACAAGUAUUUUUAAAGAUUUCAUUAAAAGACUACAUACAGAUUUAUAUAGACAUGGUUUAGAGCGUAGAUUCAUUUAUUUUGUUUCAUAUGUAGUCUUCUAGUAAAAUCUUUAAAAAAAACUUAUAUUUAGAAAUGGAGGGAGUAUAUACAAAGAAAAAUUAGUGAAUCUAUAUUUUAAAGUAUGUCUAUAUAUAUUCAUAUGUUUUUUUAAUGAAACCUUUAUAAAGACUUAUAUGUAAAAACGGAGGGAGUAUGUACAUAGUCUGCCUUUGUUCAAUUUGGAUGUCAACUCUCCCUUGGCCAUUGAUUUUUAGACAUUAUUAAGGAAAAUACUUAAUAUAUAAUGGUAUAUCAUGACUUCUGUUGCCAAAUUCAGCAGCAUAUUUUUCAUUUGGAAAAAUUAAAGAAUUAUAUAUUUGCAUUAUUUGCCUACUUUCAUUUGCUUUAGCACAUUGGGUUAGUAGAAUCAUUUCGAGUAGCCAUAAAUAUUUUAAGACGCGGUUGAAAAUAUACGGUACCCACAUUUAAGCAUAUAUCUGCGGUCAAAAGAUUGUCAUGCAUGCAUUCCAAAGCUCUGGGCACCAUACAUUUGUCAAAUAGUACUCCAGUAUUAUGGAAAUUCUGAAGAACAUGCAUUAUUCCAUAAGCGGACAGACCACACGUCAGCUAGCUUCUCUCAGUAGUUCAAAUCGUGCCUUAUAGUCCUUUCAUCCCCCCCCCCCCCUGNAGCUAGCUAGCUAGCUUCCGUCGCCGACGUCGACUCCUGCGAGGACGAGCAGGGCGACCGCCAGGACGGACGGGGCGGCGUCAGGGGAAGGGCGGCCGACGUUCGGGAACGUUCGAGGCGACGUAUGAUGUACAUGUACAACGAACGCGGAAGUUUCUGUGGCAGUUGGACUCCCGCCAACUGCUUUCUCUCGAUACAGGCCACCGUCGAAACGGACGCGAAAACUGUGUUUUUGUAAAUCAGGAGAAGCCUUUUACCACGUCCCGUAAAAAAUUUACGGAUCUAUCGCGUUUGCAUGAUCUGAUCGGACAGUUUUUGUCGCGUGAACCUGUAUUUUAAUUGUUAUUUUCAGGGACGAAUCUAGGGGGGUGGGAGGGGGGCUAGUGGCUGUUGUAGCAAAAAGAAAUUCAUUUCAUAUGAACUUUUCCCCUUCCAUGAACAAACUUCCCGCCUUAUACAUGCAUGAUGGUUCUGUCCCUGGUUAUUUUAUACUCCCUCCGUUUCUAAAUAUAAGUCUUUUAAGAGAUUUUAAUAGGGGUCUAUAUACGGAGUAAAAUGAAUGAAUCUACACUCUAAAAUAUGUCUAUAUACAUCCAUAUAUAGCGAAUAUUGCUUUUGGCUCUGGAGCUCACUAGAGGCCUUUAAAUUCAAACUUCAAAUUCAGUGAAAAUUUGUAUUUUAAUGUUUCAAAAAAUUCUGAAAAAAAUACAUAGAUAAAUGAAGGUAUAAUACACAAGUGUGUAAAUUUUCAGAACAAAAUACAUUGAAAUGUGGGCUGUGCAAAAAAGACAAAUCUGAGGCUGUUUAACACAUGUUACUAUUCAUCAUUUCAGACCAUGAAUUUGUCUUUUUUAUACAGAUCACGUUUUAAAGUAUUUUGACCUGAAAUUUUACACACACAUGUCGGUUACAUCCUUACAUACAUGCAUAUUUUUUUUCAGAAUUUUUUGAACCAUAAAAAUUUGAAUUUGAAUUUUUCAAAAAUAAAAGCCUCCGUGGCUCCCGGGAGCCAAAACGUCAUUCUCCAUAUAUAGUCCACUAGUAGAACCUCUAGAAAGACUUAUAUUUAGAUACGCACGGAGUAGAUGGGGCAUUAUCAAUAAUGCUAGACAUACAAAAACUUACAAAGGUUUACUCAACCUUUCAAACUAACUCUUCUCUCCCCCCUGAUUUUCAGUAAGGGUGGGGCCCCUCAUCCUUCAAUUACCAAUCACAAUCUUAUACAUCAGUUUAUACGUAAAAUCUUUACGUAAGCCUUUGUAUGUGUAACAUUACUCGGGCAUUAUAGGUGGUGUGCUAGCCUCUUACCCGAGCGGGUACCUACCCCUACGUGGCCUUCUUUGUCCGCGCGCGCGCACACAGUACACAAUGCGCGCACCAAUUAUCCGCAACAACGGCCGGCCCCCGGACCCACUAUGAGCUUCUGUUGUAACCGCCGGUAUGAUCCGUCUCGCCUGGCUCGUCCUAUAAAUAGGGCGCGGCGCCUGGCCAUGGAAGAUAUCUCUCCAUCCGCACACAUCUUGCACUACUACUUGCUAGAUACGCACCUGUCUCGCAGUUGACGCUAGCUAGCUUACCUAGCUCCAUCCGCACACAUCCAUGGCGGCUCGCAUCGGCGCUGUCGUGCUCUGCAUGUUCUUGAUCGUUAGCGCGGGGCUGGUAGCCACGCCGGCCGAAGCUCGCGCCGUGCCGGAGGCCGUCUACGCCGCCGCGGUCGCCAAUGCAGCCGGCGGCGGUGGCGUCCGUCGUGGGAGGUGGAACAGCGCGAGGAGGCUGGAGGGUGACGCCGCCCGGAAGCGGGAGGUGCCCGGCGGCCCGGACCCGCAGCACCAUCACUAGAGAAAGUGUGUGAUCAGCUGCGACGUGCCAGGCCAACGUACGUACGUACAUAAUGCAAAUGAACUCCCGUGGAGCGUCGGAUUUGGGUCAGUAUUUGAAGAAAGUACAGUUUGCAUUUGGUUCAGGGAGCCGUGUGUGUUGCCGCUCCGUUCAUUUAAUUUGCGUACUUUAUAUGAACGCAAAAAUGGUAGUACGACCGAGUUGUAAUAAGCAAACGCAGAUAAUAAUACUUCUGUGUUUGCAAUGAUCUACUGUAUCGGUGAAGACUGGAUUGUUCCUUUUUAAUUAGCCUGGUCAUCUCCUACGUGGUGUUUGGAUAAUAUAUUGUUCCUAACGUACGGUGUCGAUCGCGACCUUUCACUUGAGAGGUUGAUCAUGGCAUCAUGCACGAUGAACGUCUGCAUGCGGAUCUACUUUUGUGGUCGGCCGACGCACAUUAUUUUGUUUUAUAUUUAAAAAAAUAAGUACGUGCAACUUUCCAGUGAGUGUGACCGUAAACCGACUGUAAUCACGAACCGCUACCCCAUGAUACAUGAGGUUAGCAAAAUUAAAAUUCAAAAGACUGUAAUCACGAACCGCCAAUGGGAUCGGCGGCGCGUCAUCUGGCUCAUCGUGGUAGGCUCAGAAAGACCAGUGAGUAGUGGAGAGAUAUACUUUCCAUCAAGAUCGGCGAACGGGCGGAACAACGGAACGAGAGCCUGGGCUGGGGCCGACGGCAUGGUGCGGAUCGAGCAUGGCAGCCGUCUUUCCUACACGGAAUCCCCUCCAGCUCGCUUCAUCCUUGUGCAUAAAAUGCAUGCCACGGCCUAUAGUAUAUAGACAUAUUUUAAAAUAUAGAUUUAUUUUAAUUUAUUUUAUAUGUAAUCUGUAGCAGAUCUAAAAAAAUAUAUAUUAGAAAACGGAGGGAGUAGCUUUUGAUUUAGGUUAUUCCGUUCAUACAUAAUUUAUCCAAAAUUAAUCUUUAAAAUCCUGCAGGAACGCGCGGGGAAACCACCUUGUUUAUUGAAUCAUCUAGUUCAACUUCUUCCUCCAUUUGGAACUGAUAUCAUAGGGGGAGUGGGGGUGCUGCUUAAACUACUCCCACCUUCAUGUUCACGUGGUCUAUAAGAACUUGCACGUCCUUGAUGUGAAAGAAAAUCACAACUUUGUAGCCCUCGUGAGCGCAACCUCUCUUUCUAUCAAGGUGGUUGUCAUCAUGCGAGCAAGGUAGUGGUGGGCGGCAGGGAAGCACUCUGGCUUGACGGUUGAUUCAACCUUGUGGUGUGUGUCCUCCUCGACCGAGUCGAACCACAACCAAGCUCUUUCCCAGAAUUUUCUCUCGGCAUGGUCCUCUUCAAUUUCGUCGGGGAAAGGUCCACAAGGAGGGCUCGACCACCGUGACAUGGUGGAUGAAUGGGGUGAGUGUGUCCGCAAAGGAGAAGAUGGGUGAGGAGUAGCACCAAUGGACAAGGAAGAUGCAUCAAGAGUGGCGUUGUCGAGUGGGGUGGGCCGGUUUGUAUACCCACGAAUGGGCACACUCUGGUGUGAAACGAGGAUGAAUUUGAUGUGUACAUGUGGAAAUGGGUGUGAAACGUGGUGACGGCUAUUAAGAGCAUCUCCAGCUGCACCCCCAACAGGCCUCCUGGGCGUGUUCUUUUCCGCCGGCGUUGAGAAAUUGCCCCAGUUGUGCCCCUGGGACAUCGAUUUUCGCCGGUUGGGCCCAUUUUCUGGCCCGACGAUCCCAGGCCGAACCCAGUGCACCGGGAGGCGCUUGGGGGCUCCGGCGUAACGGAAAAUGGCGUGUGGGCCGCCACUGUUAUGCAAAAACGGUUUUCCACCUCCAGAUCCCCUCCGCCCGCGCACUAGACCUUUCAUCGCCUUGCCGAUCCCGACAACGCCCACCUACAUACCGUCGCUAGAAAGGCCAUCUCCCCGACGAGAAAGGGAGAGUUCGCUGCGGCUUCGCCCCCUUGCUUCUGGGCAAGCUUUUUCGAUGCUCUGGCCACGCACGCGGGCGCGUGUCUGCCACGCCCGCCACGUGUUCGGCGAUGGACUCUGACGACGAGGAGGCAUUCGUGGCGUUGCUGGAGGAGGAAGCCGAUGCUGACGCCCAGGACGAAGAGCACCUCAGGGUCCUCGCCGCUCUGGCCGGCCAGUUCGGGAGCAACGCAAAGCCGCGGCGAGGUGGCUCGACGUCGGGUCGACUGAAGGAAAAAACAGAGGCAUCGACUGGAAGGCUAUUACUUGCUCUACACCAACUACUUCGUCGACACUCCUCUACAUGGUGACAAAGUACUUCGGCGCCAUUAUCGGAUGAGCCAGAAGCUCUUCCUCAGGAUUGUGAAAUCCAUCACGGAGUUCGACAAUUGCUUCAAGUGCAAAAAGAAUUGCACCGACACAUUUGGAUUCACCUCACUCCAGAAGUGCAUGGCAUCUAUGGGGAUGCUUGCAUAUGGAGCUCCCGGUGAUAUUCUGGAAGACUAUAGACGCAUGGACGAGUCCACCAUCAUUGAGUCUUUGUACAAGUUCUGCAGGGCAAUGGUGGCAGUGUUUGGACCUCAAUACUUGCGAUCACCCAAUGCUGAAGACACUGCUCGGAUCCUAGCACAGAAUGCAGCAAGAGGAUUUCCUAUGAUGCUUGGAAGUAUCGAUUGCGUGCAUUGGAAAUGAAAAAACUAUCCAUUUUCUUGGCAGAGGAUGUACAAAGGCGUCAAAGGAGGUUGCAAUGUGGUACUUGAGGCAGUGGCCACAUAGGACCUCUGGAUUUGGCACUCCUUCUUUGGUAUGCGAGGAACUCAUGAUGACAUCGACGUACUGCAGUGCUCAAAUGUCUUUGCCAUGCUUGUUGAAGGUCAUGCUCCCCCGAUUAACUACGCGGUCAAUGGACGCCACUACAACAAGGGAUACUACCUAGGAGAUGGCAUAUAUCCGAGAUGGUCCACAUUUAUGAAGAUUAUCUCAAACCCUGGCCAGGAGGCAAGAACUCCUACUUUGCCAAUCGCCAGGAAGUUUACAGGAAGGAUGUCGAACGGGCAUUUGGUGUGCUUCAAUCUCGAUUUGCUGUUGUCCGGCACCCCGCUCAGACCUUGUCAAAAGAUCAAAUGUGGGAAGUCAUGACUUGUUGUGUCAUCUUGCACAACAUGAUCACUGAGAGCUAGCAGGAAGAGCUAGUGUUCGACAGUGAACCAUAUUACAGCAGGGCCCUCUUGCCCAAGUUGAUCACUAGCUACCGACAACCUGGACUGGCUUCCUCAACAUGCGUCAGGAGAUCCGAGACUCACAGGUGCAUCAACAACCGCAUCACAAUUUGGUGGAGCACCUAUGGAGGCUCAAGGGCAACGCCUAGCUCGAUGUGCGGUGAAUUAUGAGUUUUUUAUUUGUUGAACCAUUUUUAUUUGUAUUGAUUUCUGCGAUGAACUAUGUGAUGAAAAAUAAGCAUUUUCUGAAUUUCUGCCGAAGCACGCUGAAUAUGGGCCAAAAUUAAUAGAAUUUUGCAUCAAAAGUGGCCCAAUUGCGCCGAAAGGUGACCAAAAUCGGCGGUUAUGGGCAACCUUGGGGGGGGGACUAGAAACCCAAGGUCCCCCACGCCGAUUUUUUCACCGACGCACCCCGAGGCGACGCUAUUCCUAGUGAAAAAGAGGUUGCGAGCAGCAAAAGUGGAGGCGGCAACCAUACUAAUGGUUGUGACAUUAGAAAGAGUACGCGUCGGAGGAAGAAAAUAGACUAAACCUCCCUCCGGCCUGGGUGAAUGGAUUUGGAGCUCGAUUCAUACCAGCGCUAGACUCCAAAGCUCCAAAAAAUUGGAGACCUAGGCCGAUAUGGCGACUCUUUUUUCACACCUCGAAUGUCAGCAAACAUUUGUUAUGGCAAUUUCUUGACUCGGUUAGAGUUAGUUGCUCUUAGUAAAGUUACCAUGUAACACAAUUCUCACUUCCAUGUACGUCAUAUCAAACAUGUGGACGGAGGGAAGCAUGUUUUCCAAUCAGUGGCUUGCCCACAUUGAAGUUACAGGUUAGGCAAUUGAGGACAUCAAGCUAUAUGAUCUUUCAAUUUUACCCAUGGUUAUGAGUACCCAUCGCAACCUCACCCUCAUGGGCAUGUUUUGGACACAUUUUUGUGGCUAUGGGUACCAUUCGAACCAUUGCCUGGUUAGUCAUGGAUAUAGUAUGGGUACACUUUUUUUCGAAUGGGUAUGUACGAACCCGACCUGACAAGCUGCGAUGUGGGGCCAUACUAUUGUUUCCGUUCUCAAACUAUUAAAGUCAUACACAUUAAUCGUGUGAUGUGUGUUUAUGCAUGAAGCCUUUUGUUCAAAUUCUUGAAGUCCUUUGUUUAAGCUACUAAACUAAUUUUAUUUGACCAUGCCAUUAGUCUGAGUUGAGUUUCUUAUUUCGGUAAAAAAAUACUACUGAAUGCCAAUAUAUUUCAAUAAGUAUGUUGAGCUGCCUGUUGGAUACCAAUCAGGCAAUUGCCCCUCGAGUACGGUCAUGAGCAUGGUUUUGCGCCUCUCGGUAUGGGUGUGGGAUUGUUGUACUCAACCCAUUGCCAUCCUUAUGGAUGAUUUUCGAUUUUCAUUAUUUUCACUAGUAGUAUUGCAUAGUUUGUAAUUUUAUUUAGUUUUAUUAGUUUCCAUUGUUUUUUCGUGUGUACAUGUGUUUUGGAGUAACAUAGAACCCAGCACGAUGAAAAGGCAAAGGAUGGGUUCAAUAUAGAGGACUUCGAGGCACCAGGCUUACAAAUUUUGAAUGUCAAAAAUGAAAGAAAACAAAGUGCUCCAAAUUAAUAUCUAAUACCACAGGUGCAUCGGCGGCGUUGAUACAAUUCCAACGAUCCCAAGAACAUCAAAAUUUGAGUUUGUAUGAAGAAAUGACGAUUGUUUUACCGGAGGAGCACUUAAUGGCGUGUGGUAUGAGCAUGCCGCUCGUACCAAUUCCAGACAAGAUUGUAAAGGUUUAGAUCAGACGGGAUUCUUCACCAAUUUUGUCCCCGUUUGUCCCUGAAACUUCCUUGUCUAUUAAGGAAUGUUUUGAGAGAAGAUUAGGCUUAUCUAGAUACCUUAGAUCAAAGGAGAAAACCUACAUCUAGGAAGGAGGCUUUGGGAGAUACCUUAUAUAUGCACCUCCAACCCUAGCUGCUUGCAUCAUCAGUCAUUCAUCCAAGAUCAAUCUCAUCUCCAUUAAGUUAUGGUCUAGGACCACCUCCAUAGAGUAAGAAGGUCCAAGACGAGGAAAGGAAGAGGAGGCUCCGCCACUGCACCAUCUCCACCGACGGCGUCACCACCAUCUCCAUCGUCGGCGCUACCUCUAUCAUGACAUGCUCCUCUCCUUCACCGGCUCCAUGCGAGCUUGUAACGCACCUCCCCCCUCUAUGUUACCCCUUCGUAUGUUUGAGUAAUUGGACUAGUUCUUGAGGAUUUGGAUGAACCCUUGCAUGAUUAUCACUUAUUGUUUACAAGUGAUCAGAUCAUUCUCUUUAUAUAUGUUGUGUUGAUUUUAUCAUGGUGUUUUGAAGAGGGAUCACUCAACAUUAGCCCCUCGUGGGAGGGUAUUAUUAUUGGUGUGAAUGACUAUUGUGGAGGUUUGUAGUUACAAUGUACAUUACGGAUAUUUUUCCCGGAUCAUCGCAAUGGGGAGUAACGAAGAACAUAAAGCUUUAUGUCAUGUUCAUGGGGAAACACUUAAUCACCAUAGUGUUAGUGGGGAUACACUGGUGAUGGCGGGCGUCAUACAUCGUUGUUGUUGGUAAGAAUGUAUCUUUGUCUUGCUCCGCCCACACAUAAUCAUAUUCAUGUGAAUUAGUGAUACAAACAUAGAGCUAUGCAUUCACAUGUGUUGUCAGCAUUAUGUAUGGUGAUGACUACGAAACCUUUGAGAAUGCUUUACUACUCAAGCACCAUCCGCUUAGUUUAGCUCCCUUCUAUUUUUCUUCUUUUAUAUUUUUGUUUGUAGUUUAGGAAAACCACCCUUUUUAUUUGUCUUCCUAGCAACCAACUAAAGUAGACCAUUUCUAAACUUUGGUUUGGGUGCGUACAGAACCGCCUAGGUCAUGACAUAGGUGUUGGGUUACUAUUGCCUUCCUUUUCGUUUUAUGUGGAUUUGACAGUCUAUUUUUGACAGUCUAUUUACCGUGAAAGUGCUACAACACUCUCUUGUUCUUGCAUGACAUCACUUGCUUGUUCUUUAACUUUCUCAAUUUUAUGAAAAACAAGCAUCCUCGUGUAUAUAAGUGUCUUCCCAUUUUUAGUGCUCCCGACAAAUUUGAAAAAAAAACUCGUUUCAAACUUUAAUUGCUCCAUUUUCCUGCUUGAAAAGAAGACAUAAUUUUGUCCAAAGACAAACAUUGCAAAGUUUGGUCAAGUCUAUAGGGGAAUCAUUCAACAUAUCAAAACAAUGUUAUAUUGUGUAUUUAAUGAUGCUAUGUUAGUAAAACAGUUGUUAAUAAUUUUUUCUGUAAGCUUGGUCAAAGUUUGAACCGUUUUUAUCUGAGACAAAAUUUAUACAACUUCUUUUCAAGCACAUGGAGUACUUCAAUAAUACCGUGAACUUUGUAUUUUUACUCACGGUCUUUACUUUACACUACAUAACAUUUAUUGACUUGUCUCUACAAGAAAAACCUGCACCUAUGAACUUGACUCUUAGUAAAGUACACAUUAUAAUUGUUUAGAAGGUUUCACAUAAGUCUUGAGAAUUGGAGGCAUACGUACUUUCUCUUGACGGGUUCGACCCUCAUUAGUUUCUCAUCCAUAAUUUAAAAGUGUUACAAUUAUCCCUAUCACUUGGCGGUUAAUCAUUGCCAACUUCGAGAAUGGUGUUUUUCCUGCUAGGCUUCCUUGUCUAAUGUCCAGAACUUCUAGGUUACGUUGCUUUUUCGUCCAAUUGUCAGCUGAUUUUGGAGGCUACUUAAAUAAGGCACCUACACACCUUCAAAGGGUAGAAGCUCCGCGACCCUUUGUUGUGGGAGAACUCCAUUUUGCUUCUCUGUGUUAUUACUCUUUUUCCUUAGUACUUCGUUGAACAUCUUUGCCAAAGGGUUCUUUCUAGCUGACCUAUGCAAGUUAUUAUUACCCUUGGAGGUUGAACGUCCCCUCGACAAUUGGUCUCACAUUUAAGCCUUCAUUGUGCAAACGAGCUAAAAAGUUUGUGAAGCUUGGGAGCACGCCCACUUCAUGUGGAGGUCUACCAAAGUGAUUGGUCAUGAGUUUUGUGUCCUAAGCCAAGAAGGUAUAGGUGGGACUUGGUGAUAGAGGUCUUUGUGACCUUAGGACUUUCCUAGCCUCCCCAAUUAUGGCAUAUGAUUCUGCAAAGGAUCUGAACGUCGAAUAGAUCUUGUGUUCCUUAUUCCUUGUUUCUGUCCAUUUACCUUUUGAAGGUUAAUUCUGCACCAGUAUUUACUUAGACUUGCACCAUGGGAUGCUUUAGAGGAGUGGCGGCGCCAAGAAAUGAAGGUUGGGUAUUCAUCCAAUUUUUUUUCCUCUAAAUGUAGUAUAUGAACCAAACAACACAACAUAAUAAAACAACACUAGCAUAACGGCAAUAGCAAUAUUUCAAUGUAUCAAACCAUAAUGACAUGAAUACAUAAGUACCUUUUGAUUGACAAAGUGAUGAUAUCCUUCUUACAAUAUAACUCUGCGGUCGCCUUUUUGGAAGAGAUUGAUGCCAUCUUCAUCCUUCACUUGAUUGAAAGAGGUCUUUGUGUGGAUGUAAAAGUUAUUUUCCUUGCCUUUGAAGAUUUGUCCCACAAUUUAAAUAGGCUAACAUCCUUUUUUCAUCUACAUCAUAGAUCACAUAAACGAAGUACAAAUUAAUGGCAUGGCAAUAUGAAUGGCUUCUACUCCUUAUAGCAAUCAUAGGCAGUGGCAUUUAUAAAAAAAUCUUCAGAUUUCUUAAAUAAAUAGAGGGCAAAAAAAACCUUGUUGGACUUGGAGCAGCGUAGUACUGGAGCGGUGGAGGUAGAAUGGUGUGUGGUGGUCGUCUGGUGGAGCCGUGGAAGGCGCCAACCGCCAGGCCAGCGGCAGCAGGGGUGGCCGGUCGGCCGGGGGUCCGGUGAAAGGGAUCCCGAGCCGGUCCGGCCACCCGGGGAGGCCGGGUCGUCGGGAGGCGGUCAGGCAGAGGCCGGAGGGGCCUUAAGGGAGAGCCGGAGAGGGUCAGGCGCCCGACGCCAGGCCGGAUUGGAGGAGAGGAAGAGGGCCGACCGCUGCGGCCCGCGGGUAGGUUAGGGUUGGGGGCUUGGGGCGGGAGGAGAGGGAUCGAGGGGAGGGAUCGAUGUUUCAGCGCCUCGGGCUGGCUCGCGCGGGUUACGAGACGUCCUCGCCGGCUCACUCUUCUGUCCAGCUGAAUUAAUAUGCCUAUUCAAAAAAUGAGCGAAAAUCUUGAGUAUUCCAGAGAAGUCCCAGGAAUGCCCCAACGCCGCCCCUGCUUUAGAGGUGCUAAUGGGCAUCUAGCACAUAAAUACAUCCUAACCCCAACGCAAUGCCAUUACAAUUGUUCGACGGCUGCAAUGACUGUAAAAAAACUUGCCAACAGAAAAUCCGGACAUAAAAAGAAGAAAGUGUUUUUAGCAUACGCACCAUUGAAGAACACAAAAUAGCUAACAAAUCCUUGACCAUGAAGGUAUUUUUGAUUCACAUGAUUCCAAGAACAUAAAACAGGGAAACGUCGAAUUGUAAUGAUUAUAUCAUUGAAGAUGUAUGAGUUAAUACAAAUUAUCAAACAUGGUGCAAAAAACAACAUAGAAAUCUUUCUUAUGGAUUGCAGUCCUACGCGCUACACCUUCUCUUUUAUAAUAAUUUUCUUGUUUCAUACAAAUGUUAAUCCAAGGCGUACAUUGUUUCUAAAGAGAUUGUCUUAAUCUUUUUUUCCCUUACACUACAGUAGCCAUCUCACUCAAGUGAAGAUGAAAAUGAUGGUAAUAUUACACGAAAGGUUCUACUCCCUCCGUACCUAAAUAUAAGUCUUUUAGAAGGUUUCAUUAAGGAGGCUACAUACGGAUGCAUAUAAACAUAUUUUAAAGUAUAGAUUCACUCAUUUAACUUUGGAUGUAGCCCUCUAGUAAAAUCUCUAUAAAAACUUAUAUUUAGGAAAGGAGGGAGUAGUACAUGAACUAGCAGCCAUGCAAAACUUAAGUCUAGCUUUAUUGUCUCAACGGAUACGGCGAGACACAACCGAGAGCGGCGGUGGUGGCAUCCCUCUGUGGCGCACUGACGUGGACGGGAUUAUUCUGAGCAAUUUAUAUAGCCGUGCAGAGCGAACAUGGGAGCACAGAAGCAGAACAUUGGCUCAUGGCCACGGUGCAUAUAUCCGCUAGUUAAUGCAAAAGAAGGCGGAAUGAAAAAGGAGGAUCAUCGUGACCGACGCAUGAUCUUGUUAGCCCCUUUGCAGUGGUGGCCACUGGGUGAAUCCGACGGUGCUCGACGUGUCCUUCCUUGUCCUUUCCACACAAAGCGAGCGAUCGGUGCUCCCACCAAUUAUCCGCAACAAACGUUGCCCGCCCUGGCCGGCCCCGGCCGGGUCCCGUUAUACUAUGUUUCUUUUGUAACCGCCGGUCCUUGCCAUCUCUCUUAUCGUCUCGCCGCCCAGUCCUAUAAAUACCGCUCAUCCAUGAAGAGAUAUGCAUACAAACACACACACACCAUUGAUCGGAAACCAUCCAUCAUCACUAGACCGAAAACUCUCUGUCUUGUGUCCCGUCGAGCACGUAGUGUACCACCGGCCCUCGUCUCUAGCUCCAUCGUCCAUCAUCCAUGGCUGCUCGCAUCGGCGCUGUUGUCCUCUGCCUGGCGCUGAUCGUCAGCGCGGGGCUCGUAGCCACGCCGGCCGAAGCUCGCGGCGUGGCCGGCGUCCUCUAUGCGCCCGCGGUCAGCAAUGCGGCCGCUACCAGCGUUGCAGGCGUUCCUCCGGGGAGAUGGAGCGCGAGGAGGCUGCAGGGAGACGCCGCUCACAAGCGGGAGGUGCCGGGCGGCCCGGACCCGGAGCACCAUCACUAGAGUCUAGAGCAGGGAGCCAUGCAUGCAUGACGCGCCGACGUACGUACUCCAUGUACGCACGGUGCCAUGCAUGCGGGUCGCGCCUCUACUCCACAUAUGAGGUGGUAUUCCGAAUGAGGUUGGAAAGGUAAAUUGCUUGCAUUUGGUCGAAGGAGCUAGCUAGCUGUGGGUACGUACGUACCAUGCAUGGUAUCCGUUUGUGCACGCGAAAGUGUGGUCUACUACUCCCUCCGAUGUCGUUGACUUAAUUAGUACAACUUUCUACUAACUUUGUACUAAAUCAGCGACAGGAGAGGAAGUACAUUAUUACUACUCCACUCAUAUUAUCGAGUUGUAAUAAACAAGCGCAAGUUGAAGCGCACAGAUAUAUAUAUGGAUCAUGAUCUAUUAGUGAAAAAUGACAUUUCUCAUGCUCUGGGUGUGGAAUCUGGUUGCCUACGUGGUGUGGGGACAUUAUUGUACGUACGGAGGACACAUUGCUGUGACGGGUUCCACUCGAGAGAUCAUGGUGAACAUCUGCCCAGACCUUUUAUGUGUUUGACACCCAUUAUUGGUUGCAGUAUAUACAGGAG
rnacentral:lncRNA from 1 species